UUUCUUCAAUUCCUGGUCUGAAAUCUCACGGGGUUCUGAUUGUAUUUCAAAACUUCCAGUUCUCGAACGUGGAUUUCUCUCUGAUUCUGAAUAUUUUCCCAGUCGCCUCCCUCUCUGGAGCAUUGAACCUUCCGGAACUCACACUCCACCGCCUAAUUUGCGACAAAGGGUUUUCCACUUUACAAAGGAAAACAUUGCAAAACUCAAAGCAAAAGCCAAUGCUGAGAUUGGUAGUACCAACAAAAUCUCCUCUCUCCAAGCAAUCCUUUCCCAUAUUUGGCGAUCUUUUACUCGUAAUCGAUCUCUUGAUCCUGAUGAAGAAGUUCAUUUCAUGUUAGGAAUGGGAGUUAGACAAAGAUUGCAACCACCACUGCCACCAGAAUAUUUUGGAAAUGCAGCUCAGGUACUGGGAGAGUUCGCAUCCAUGAAAGCGAGAGAUCAACUUGAGCAAGGGCUUGGAAAUGUGGCAUUGAAAAUGAACAAGUUCAUCGCUGCGUACACAGACGAAAAGAUAAAGAACUUCUUGGAGUCUUGGGGAAAAAACCCUGAGAUCCUAACAUGGGAUAGCCUGCCGACGAAGAAUAAUGCUUGCUUCGUAAGUAGCUCGCCGAGGUUCAAUUUCUACGGUAACGAUUUCGGGUGGGGAAGACCAAUUGCAGUAAGGAGUGGUCCAGCGAACAAGGCUGCUGAGGGGAAGAUCACCCUGUUUGCCGGAGUGGAAGAAGGGAGUGUCGACGUUGAAGCUUGCUUUUUGCCUGAGACACUGCAAGGUAUGGGAAAUGAUACAGAAUUCAUGCAAUUGGUAUCUUAAUUGUUAAAAAUCUUCCGUGUUCUGGGGCUUUGCUCAUUAACCAUUAUAUCAAUGAAAGCUUACUUUUAAAUACAUUUUUUAUGAAUUAAUGUAGAUCAAAUUUAGUAUGACAUGUUUAUGUUUCUGAUCAAAUGAUGUAUUUUCAUUGGUCAUGUGAGAAGUAAAAGAGAUCCAACCGCAAGUUGCUUCUACCAAACAUUGACUUUCAUAUUAUUGGCGUGCCUUGGCAAAAGCCCAAUUAGGAUUUCAAUUAAAAUAUAUCUAAUUUUGAUAUUUUUGAAAAAUAAAGCCAUGGUGAAAUAAUUGACAUAACAUCAAUAUUAUAUCAGUAGUUCAGUGAUUUUUUUUUUCUUUUUGGGUACUUGCACCUUGCUGAUAUAGACUUUGUAAAUUAUUCUGAAUGCUUAACAUAUUUCUUUUAAUGUGAUCAAUAAAAGUUUUAAAAGCAGUCUAACAGAUUAAUGAUAAAUAAAUUUGUUUCAUAUUAAAAAUAAUUCUCGAUGACUUGAUAAUCCUGUGAAGAAGUUCCUUUCGAACUAUCGAUAGGAGUUAGAAUAAGAUUGCAACCAUCACUGCCGCCUGAUGAAUAUUUCGGAAAUGCAAUUCUAUAAAGCGGGAGAUCAAAUUGAAUAUGCGGCACUGCGAAUGAGCAAUGUUAGUGAAACUGAUAAAAUGUGAAGAACAGAGGAAACGAGUACAUGCUGUAACUAUGUAUUUGACAGCAGCUGAAUAGCUCACUCAGCUGACGUGGCUUAGUUAGUUAUUUUGAUUUAAGCAUUCUUCACAUGUGUGUAACAAAUUGCCAACAAUUAGUAACAAGUUGCUUUCACUUGCUAUAUAUAUGUAUAAUCUGUACUCAUUCGAUUAAUGAGAAGUUUUUACAAGUUUCCAUUAUGAGUUUUUCAUUCAUUUUCCUUUUAACUUUCUCGCUUCCCAAACACAAAUACUUGAGUUUCUAUCAUGGUAUCAGAGCCAUCAAUGGUGUUGUAAAAAAUUUUAAUAUACUCGUAAGCGCACGAAUGUAGAAUAAAAUAAUGGUAAUAAGGUCAAACCCACAGGGAUUAUUAUAAAUUAAAAAGUCUAAUUUAAAUAAAUUAAUAUUAAUUCUAACCUAGUUGAACAAAUUGAGUUUCUAAUAAAAUUUAACCAAUUAAACUAAGAAAACAAUUAAAACAAAGGAGAAUUUAAUAAGACAAAAAUUACUAAGGUUUCAGAAUCCACCACUAAUCAACUAGUAAUUACCUAAUUAUUAAUUAAUCCCCAAUUUUAGAGUGACAACUCGAAAUCAAUUUAUAUCAUCUCAUGGAUAUAACAAUUAAGCCCAAAUAAAAUUAUUCUUGUGUUGGUUCUUUUUCUUCUUAAUAAUAUGAUAUCUAAGCAUCCCAUGUAAACAUAUUGAAUAACAAAGAGUCAAAGUUUUCCGAAGCACUCUGUGUAAACAAUUUAAUGAAAGACACAGAAUCAAAGAUAAUCAUGUAUAAACUUUAAAGACUCAAGCAUAAAUUUAAUCGGAUAUUAAUUGUAACAAUCAAUAAUACAUGACAAAAUUGAUGAAAAUUUUUUAAUAACAUUCAACUAAUCAUGUGAAACACGAACCAUAAAUAUUAAAGAACAUAUGUAGAGAAUUAAUUAAAUAAAAAGAUAAUUAUUUCAUUAAAUAGGGUUUCAUCUUUAACCUCAGUAUAAAAAAAUUAGUUAGACAUACUAAAAUAGAGAAUAACAAAUAAAAUAAAAUCAACCAUGGAGAAGCCGAACUGUUGUUGCUGCUGCCGCUCCUCUUCAAAGUCAAAUACUCCCUCUUUUUCUCUCCUUUGGCGGCUGCCUUCUCAAAAGCCAAAGUUGGCUUUUUAUAAUGCUUAGCCACCCACUGACUUAACAAAGCCCACUCACCAAGCCCUUUUUAAAUUGUUUCCUUAUUAAGGGUUGAAAACUAGCCACACGUUUAACUUAAAAGUAAAAGGCCAAUUAAUAGUUUCUUCUUUUAAUGCCCUGCACAUGCAUUCCAAAUUGCCAAAUCUUUGCUUUCCAAAUGCAUGCCCACCGUUCAUUAUUUGAUGAGAUUGACUUCCAAUUUUGGUCUUCUUGACUUCCAUUAAUUCUUGACUGUAUUUUUGUCUUCUAAUUUAAUCUUUAUUCCUUCCCAAUUUGAACUUCUUCAUGCCCUUUUUAUCCUUAAUCUUCAAUUAAUUUCCUAUUCAAUAAAAUAAUUCAAUUAAUUAAAAAUAACAAAUAAAAAUAACUAGUAAAUAUGUAAUUACGGGUAAAGUAUGUAUAUAAAUUAUGAUCAUCAAAUGGCAAGCAUGAUUCAAUCCAAUACAUCCUCCUCUCCUUCAAAUAAUUUCCUACCUCAUAUCCUUCGUGCACCUCCUCCCAUUGGUCAUCCUAUGAUGACCAGAUCCAAGAAUGGCAUAUUCAAGCCAAAGUCUUAUCUAUGUGCUCUUUUAGCCUAAUCAUUUGAACUUUCCUCUGUCUCUCAAGCUUUAUCUGAUCCAUUAUAGUUCAAAGCCAUGCAAGAAGAAUUUCAAGCCUUACAAGCCAAUCACACAUGAGACUUGGUACUACCUACUGCUCCUGUUAAAGUGGUUGGUAACAAAUGGGUUUUUAGAAUAAAAUACAACCCUAAUGGGUCAAUACUAAAGUACAAAGCACGGCUGGUUGCUAAAGACUUCCAUCAGAUACAUGGUAUUGACUACACUGAAACCUUUAGUCUAGUAGUAAAAGCCUCUACUGUCAGCAUUACUGUUAUGAAUAAUUGGGUUCUUCGGCAAAUAAAUGUCAAUAAUGCUUUUCUAAAUGGUAUUCUUGAUGAGGAAGUGUAUAUGACACAUCUCGAAGGAUUUAUUGAUCCUCAUAAACCUUAGCGCAUAUGCAAAUUGAGGAAAGCUAUCUAUGGUUCGAAACAAGCUCCAAGAGCUUGGUUUGCCAGACUUAAAACAACAAUGCUUUCUCAGUGGCAUUUUUAGAGCUCCAAGUCAGACAAUUCACUCUUCUAUAAGAGAGAAAAUGGUCAUUUACUUUUGGUUUUGGUAUAUGUGGAUAAUAUUAUUGUUAUUGGUUCUAGCUCAGCGAAAGUUCAACAAGUAAUUCAAGAUAUGUAGAAGACUUUUGCCUUGAAGGAUCUAGGAGAACUCAACUAUUUUUUAGGCAUUGAAGUCUCAAAACUUUAAAAUGGCAUUCAUUUAUCCCAGGCUACGUACAUUGCUGAUAUUUUGGCAAAAGAUGACUUAGUUAAUUGUAGUCUAGUGCCAACACCUAUGUCUACAGGUCAGCAACUCACCAAAGACUCAGGUUCUGAAAUUUCAAAUAUUUCUCAGUAUAGAAGCAUUAUUAAGGCCCUACAAUAUGUUACUCUCACUAGACCAGAGAUAGCCUUUACUGUCAAUAAGCUUAGCCAGUUUCUAUCUAAUCCUAGAACUACACAUUGGGAGGCUUGCAAAAGGUUGUUAAGAUAUCUAAAAGGCACAAUUCAUUUUGGUCUUCAAUUUUACAAUUGUGGAGCUAUGCAAAUCAACUCUUUUACAUAUUCAGACUGGGCUUAUGAUCGGGAUGAUAGAAAAUCAGUAGUUGGUUUUGCUAUUUAUCUAGGUGCCAAUCUGGUUUUAUGGUCAUCCACGAAACAAUUAGCUGUCUCAAGGUCCAGUACAAAAGCUGAGUACAGAGCUUUGGCUCAUGCUGCAUCAGAGGUCAUUUGGAUAUAGUUUUUACUUGCUGAGCUAAGAAUUCAGCUAAGUACUACACCAAUUAUGUGGUGUGAUAACCAGGGAGCAAUUGCCUUAGCUUAUAAUUCAGUUUAUCAUGCUAAAACAAAGCAUGUUGAGCUGGACAUUCAUUUCAUCAAAGAUAGAGUGGGAUCAAAAGAAAUAGCUAUUUGUUUUGUGCAUAGUGAAGAUCAAACAACAAAUGUCUUAACUAAGGCUCUUACUUUCACUUAGUUCCAUUACUUGCGCAGUAAAUAAAAUGUUUAUCCCAGAAACACCAGUUCCAGAGGGGAUAUAAGUAAAGAUGAUAAUUUGUGAAGAAUAAAAUAAGGGAGUAAUGUGAAAAGCAGAAACUCCAGCUUAAGAGGGGAUGUUAGUGAAACUGAUCCCUUGGAGUCCUGGAGACAAAACCUUGUGGUCUUAACAUGGGAAAGCUAGAAGACGAAAUCUUAUUGGUUUCCAAAUAGUUCGUCGAGGUUCAAUAGCAAUGAGAAGUGGUCUAGGGAAUAAAGCUUAUGGAAAUAUCACUUAGUUUACAGGAGUGGAAGAAGGUAAUAUCGACAUUUAAGCUUGCUUUUUACCGGAGACACAACAGGGUAUGGGACAUGAUACAGAAUUCAUGCCAUCUACGUGUUAACGUCUUUGGUGAUCCUAAAAUAUUACUUUCUAAUCAUUCAUUUACACGUUAUCACGUGCAAAUGAAUGGUAUCAUAAUUAGUUAAAAGCACACAAAUGAUAAAAAGUGAAUUCAUUACUAUAACUAUGCUUUAUUUAGGCACCUCAUGCAAUAAAUUAUUUCAUCUCAAAACUCAAUUUAAUAAUUAAUCCCAUGAACAUCCAUUCGUUAGAGCAUGACAACAAAAUUUAUGUAUGGCAUCUGUGGUAGAGCAUAAUAGUUGUAGAGAAAUGGAAAUUGAAAGGAAGGAGCUGGCAGCUUAUAACUGUGAUUCAAGUUUUUGCUUUAGAAUCUUUCAGAAAAAAAAAAAGUUUUUGCUUUAGAAAAUUUUUGACUCAACCUAGUAAACUGGUCAAUAAACUAUCAAAUUUGGGGCCCAAUUUGAUGGGCCUAGUUGGUUGCAGUGUUGGGUCUAGUUAGUCUCAACAAAUACUGGUCGUAGCCUCGUAGGCAGUUCGCAUUAGAGAUUUAUGAUGAUUGUAAUGUGUGAAUGAGUAAUAGAAAGCUCUAUUUAUUGGCACAAGGAGUAACCUUUGUGCGGUUGUGCAGAUAAAAAGAGAAAACAUGUAGUGGGUUAUAUGAAAUUAAAAGUAAUAUGUUGUUAUAAACACGAUUAGAAAACUCCUGAUUUAAGCCAUAAAAGCCUUCAACUCAACACCAAAGUAUUCAGGGAACUACACUCAUGGUUUGAAUAGAAAUGCACAACCAUGGUUCUAAUACCAAUGGCUAAAAUAAUUUUAAGCUUUACGGCAAUGAAUCCAUUCAACAUAUUUCAUAAGGGAGAAAAACUGCAUUUUAUCUUGGUUGGCCAUGAAAAAGACUUGCUGGUAAGCUUGUUUCUUGCCCGUUAAUUCAACCUUUUGUUCUUGGCUUCAAUCUCAACAGCAAAAUCAAGCUCCUCAUUCACUGCACACACACACAAUUAGGAGAAAGGAGAAAAAGAAAGAUAGUGUAUAAUGGAACUGCAUUUUAAAGAAAUGUGUAGAAAACAAUCAAAACCUCUACAGAAUUCUUAGUAUUUUUGUCAACACAAUACUUCUUCUUUUAAAGACAUUAAUGCCAUAGUACAAAACCUUAGCCUACAAGAUUUGUACACACAAAAUGAAAAAAGAGCCAAGUAAUUCAUGAAUAAAAAACAUAGAGCAAAGAAGGGAUAAGUAACAUAAACACGCACAUGAAAUUGGCACAGAUGAACAAAGAACGAGUUGCAAGCUCUUUAUUACCGAAAGAAACGAGCCCCAUAUCAUAUGAUCUCCCUACAAGCUUUACAACGAGCUAUCAUAUGCUUUCCAACUCUCAAAGAUUAACAAGUUAUAGGCCUUAGAAAUUGCCCUCGUAAAUUCAUUUUAAAGCUAAAUUUUCUUGCUAUUCAUGGGAUGAGCAUAUACUAUAUACAUAUUUUACCCUUAAUUAUAUAAUUGCUAAUUAUUUUUAUUUGAUAUUUUUAAUUAAUUAAUUAUUUUGUUGAAUAAAAAAUUACGUGGAGAUUAUGAAUAAAAAAAGGGCAUAAAGGAGCUCAAUUUCGGAAGCAUUAAUUAAUUGAUUUUCGGAGCAAUUAAGUAUAUUUGCAUGUGAAGUCAAGCAAAGGAAACCAAAUUCAACAAAUUGAUUCAUCCAUGCACAUGAAGACAAAGAAGAUUAUGGCCAUCACGUGAGAAGCAAUCACCAUUAUUGUUAGCAUGUGCAUGGCAUUAAAAAAGGAAUUCUAAUGCAAUUCUAAGUGGUGAGUACGUGUGAGAGCAAAACAAAUUAAAAGGCCAAGCCUUUCGGCUUUAGAAUUGGAAUGGUUGGUGGCUCAUUUUGGAGAUUAUAAAAAGAAAUAUGAACUUUGGCUUUUAAGAGGCCAACCGCGAGAAGAGAAAAAAGAGAGCAACGUUAGGCAUUCGGUAGAGGAGAAAAUAGCGGCAGAAGCUCUUUAAUUCUUUUAUGGUUGGUUUUAUUUUAUUUGUUGCUCUCAAUUCAAGUAUGUCAAGCUAAUUUUCUUUUACUGAGGUUAAAGAUGAAACCUUAUUCAAUGAAAUAAUUAUCUUUUUAUUUAAUGAAUUCCCUACAUGCGUGUUUUAAUGUUUAUGUUUUUUUAUUUUACAUGAUUAAUUGGAUGUUAUUAAAUCUUUUCAUCAAUUCUGUCAAGCAUUAUUGAUUGUUAGGAUUAAUAUUCAAUUAAAUUUAUGCUUUGGUCUAUAAAGUUUUUAUAUUAUUAUCUUUGAUUCUAUAUCUUUCAUUAAAUUGUUUACAUAGAGUGCUUAGGAAAAUUUUGACCAUUUGUUAUUCAAUAUGUUUACAUAAGAUGCUUGGAUAUCAUACUAUUAAGCAGAAAAAGAACCUACAUUAGAUUUAAUUACUUGGGCUUAAUUGUUAUAUUCAUAAGAUGACAUAAAUUGAUUUCGAGUUGUCACUCUAAAAUUGGGGAUUAAUUAACAAUUAGAUAAUUACUAAUUGAAUAGUGGUGAAUUCUGAAACCUUGAUAAUUUUUGUCUUAUUAAAUUCUCUUUUAUUUUAAUUGCCUUAGUUUAAUUAGUUUAAUUUAUCUUAAAACUUAAUUUGCUCAACUAUUUUAGAAUUAAUAUUAAUUUUAGAUUUAAAUUAGACUUUUCAAUUUAUAACAAUCCCUGUAGGUUUGACCUCAUUACCACUAUUCUAUUUUUAAAUUCGUGUGCUUGCAAGUAUAUUAAAAUUUUUCACAAUAAGUUUUUGGCGUCGUUAUUGGGGAUUGUGCCAGAAAGUCAGUUUAAUCUAGAUUGAUUUGAUUUUUCCAGUAGUUAUAAUUUAAGUUGUCUUUUAUUUUUAUUUUAUUUUUUUAAUAAAAAACACAAAAAAUAUUUAUUUGUCUUUAAAUUUAUUGUUUGGUUGUUUGAUUUGUUUUAUUUUAAAUUCCGUUUAUUUUUAUUAUUGUUGCUUUAUUUUCCUUUCUUUGUCUAGUUAGUUUAUGAGUGUUUGGGAACGCGAUUCAACAAAUCGUUUGGUAAGAAAAGAGUUUAAAAUUGAUAGUAGUCGAGUUAGUUCUUCAAAAGUGAUGGAUGACCCAAAUAGAAUAUUGUCAGUACUUCCACCAGUACAAGCAGAGAAAAUCCUUAGAGAAUCUUUUUCACCACUUGCAGCCAACCAACCAUCUUGUAUUGUGUUGCCACAGACUACAUCAACACACUUUGAACUCAAGCCCUCUGUCAUUUAGCUUUUACCAUCUUUCCAUGGGUUAGAGAGAGAGGACCCAUAUUUGCACAUUAAGUACUUUUUUGACAUGUGCUCUACAUUUUAUUUUCAAAAUUUUAAUGAUCAGUCAAUUAGGUUUCGUAUGUUCCCUUUCUCAUUAAAAGACAAAGCGGAAGCUUGGUUGAAUUCACUUCCUGCUAGGUCUAUUACUACUUGGGAUGAAUUAAGUAAUAAGUUUUUUACCAAGUUUUUCCCUAUGUCUAAAACAAAUGUCAUUAGGAGAGAGAUAAAUGAUUUUUGUCAAAGAGAGGGUGAACAAUUUUAUGAGUGUUGCGAAAGAUUCAAUGAUUUACUCCUCAAGUGUCCCCACCAUGGUUUUGAGAAAUGGAGACUUAUAUAGUGCUUUUAUAAUGGUUUAACUAUAUCAAAUCAUCACAUGAUAGAGUCUAUGAAUGGUGGGAGAUUUUUUAAUUUACAUGAAGGGGCUGCAUGAGAUUUCUUUAUUUUACUUUUUGAGAAUUCUCAACAAUGAGAUUUUUCAAAUCAAAGAAAAAAAUGAUCUCAAGUUUCUAGGAAAGUCUAUAUGAAGUUAAUGAAGAUUUUGAUGUUAAGGUCAUUCUAGCUACACUUUCUAGGAAAAGUAGACGCCUUAACUCUGAACCAAUCAAUGAAUCAUCACCCUAGUGUACCUAAUGAGGUUUGUACUCUUUGUUCUAACUUGUCUCAUACAGCACAUAAUUGUCCAUCAUUGCCAGCCUAUCAAGAGGCUUAUUAUGAGCAAGUACAGGCCUUACAAUCAUAUGAAAAAAACCUUCAAUAGUCCAUAUUCAUCCACAUAUAAUCCUAAUUGGAGGAACCACCCUAAUUUUUCUUGGAAACAAAGUCAGCCUUUAUCAAACCAAGGAGGACAACAAUUCAACGUACCCAAUCAACAAUUUGUCCUUACUAACCAAGUAUAUCCUCCUGCCCAACAGCCUAUGUCUCAAUUUGUUACACCUUAGCAAAGAAAACCUUUUUCAGAUGAUACACUUCAAAGUUUCAUUCAGUCAACCCAACAAGCUUUUCAGUCAAACACUCAAGCUAUUCUAAAGCUUGAACAUCAAUUGGGUCAAUUAGCAACUGCUGUGGCUGAGAGAAAAAAAGGAAAAUUCCCAAGUCAGCCAGUUCUUAAUCCUAAAUGAGUGCAUAAAGUUGGAUCAACUUCAAGCCAUCAGUAUAAAGAAGCAAAAUCUAUUAUGACCUUGAGAAAAUGAAAAAUAUUUGACAACAAGGUGGAGGUUCGAACAAGAAAGACAUCUGAACCUACUUAUGCAGAUCCAGUUCCAUCACAAGACUCAUCACUAAAUGAUCCAGAAGAAAGUAAUCCACCAGCUUACAUUCCUAAGGCUUAUUUUCCUUAAAGGUUAACAAAGGUAAAGAAAGAGACUUCAACAUGUGAGAUUAUGGAAAUCUUCAGGCAUGUAAGUAUAAGCAUCCCUUUACUCGAUGCUAUUAAGCAAGUUCCUCAUAUGCCAAGUUUUUGAAGGAUUUAUGAACUAAAAAAAGAAAUUUGCAUGUCACCAAAAAUGCAUUUUUAACUGAACAAACUAGCAAUUUACUUCAAUAUAAAAUGCCACCAAAAUUUAAGGAUCCAGGUUCCCCUACUAUCUCAUGUGUUAUAGGGAACCAAUUGUUUGAUAAAGUAUUAUUGGAUUUGGAUGCAAGUGUUAAUCUCUUGCCUUACUUUGUUUACAUGCAGCUUGGAUUACAUAAAUUAAAGUCAACUUCCAUUAUUUUGCAACAUGCAGAUAGGUUAAUGAAAAUACCUCAUGGUAUUAUAGAGGAUGUGUUGAUACAGAUUGAUAAAUUUUAUUAUUUUGUUGACUUUAUUGAUAUUGAUACUCAGCAUGUACAGGAUCCUAAGAAACACACCCCAGUUAUUUUAGGUCGUCCUUUCUUAGCUAUAGUUGAUGCUCUUAUUAAUUGCAGGAAUGGAAACAUGCAAUUAUCUUUUGGUAACAUGACCAUGGAAUUAAAUAUUUUUAAUGUUCCUGAUAACUCUAGGAAAUGAGAGUUAUUACAUCAAUUCUAAACUUAAAUCAAGAUCACUUAGAGAACAAAUAAGGUGUUUUUAUUACAUUUUGGUUAUAUUUUGCAUAAACAUUCAUUUUAGUUAAGUUUUAAUAAGUUUUGUUUGAAUCAAAGUAAUUGGUGCUAAAAACAGGUGCAUAAUUGUAGGUUUUUAGAAAGUCUUAAUUCAUGAGAGGAUGGUGAGACAGUGGAUGAGCAAGAUGAGGAAAGAAGAUAGCUGCAGAAGAAGUAAAGCACAAUCGGGAAUAGUACAGUGUUGUAGCGGAUGUUAAAGCAACCAGUGCUAUAGCAAUCUGGGAGCAAUGCUGGAGAAAAUUUAGGCGUGGGUCAGCUGCAGAAUCGCGAUUUGCAUGUUUCCUAAUUUAACUCAUGCACGCUUAUGAACUUUUAUUUUACUCUAGUUUGCAGAAUAAAAGAGAGGCGUGCACCACAUAGAGAGGCGGCAAGAGGAAUUAUCAUAAAAAUCAUUAAAGAGAAAAAGAGAAGAAGAUCAGAAUUGAAGAGUGCUGUUUCGGCAACAUUGAGGAAUCUGGCAGAAUUAUUCGAAUUUGUCUUUCACUGUACUCAACUAAUAUUUAUCUUCUUCCUUUGAUUGUUUUAAUGUAUCCCGUGAACAACAUAUUUUUUUUUUUUUUUCUUAUUCAAAAUAUGAACUAUAUUUUCUUGUAGUUGAGUGACAAACAAUCCAAUGGGUUCUUGACUGUUCUUAUGUGUUUGAUUUUUUUACAAAUUUGUUUUCCAAGUCCAUUGAUUUUCUGCCUCUCUUACCAAUCAUGUUAGGCUUGGAAAUAUCCACUUUGGUAUUAUUAUUUUAUAAAUUUUAAUUAUUUUAAUUAUUUAUUAAUUAUUAGUAUUAUUAUUGUUAUUAGUUUUAUUAUUUUAAUUAUUAUUAUUGAUUAAGACUAGAAAGUGUACAUUUGAUAAAAGUUAAAAUUAUCAUUUUCCACUUACAUUGUUGAUAAGACUAACAAUGGCAUCAAAUUUACAAAUCCCUAACACAUUUUAUGAAUUUUCUAUUUUUAUUGGUUUUAAAGUAUGAUUUUUGUGCUUUGUAGAUAAAUCCCUAAAUUCAUGAUGUUUGGAUCGAAAAAGUGAACGUGAAAUUUAGAUUCUGGAGACUCAAAAUCCUUUAGAAGAAUUGCUACCCUUUUGAUCCAACAUUAAUUAUAAACGGUUGAGAUCAUGCUAUGUGUCUAAGCUAAAGUGCACCUUAUUGUACUAGAUUUAACACUUAUCAAUUUGAUAGAUCAACUAUCUUGACAAAUGAGCCUAUGGAAGAUCCCAUUUUGACCUCAUUUAUAGCCAUUGAUUAUAUUGAAUCCGACUAUUCAUAAUGGUUGCAAUUUUAAACCCUUGGAUUAUAUUAGUAAAGCUCAUUUAAAGGUUGUGGUUGCAAGCUCAUCGAAAAUAUUAUGUAAAUGUCCAACUUUAUCAACUCAAAAUUUGCUUAUAUAAAGGCAAGAGCUCUCACAAAUUUGUGUAGAGAAUUUAGAGAGAAGUUGGUAGAGAAUUGGUAGUGGAUUUUACAGGUGAGUUUUGUAGAGAAAUUUAAUGUAAAUCUAAAGUGAAUUUUACAGAAAAGCGUGAGUUUGGUGUAAAUCUAGAGUGAAUUUUAAGAAAAAGUGUGAGUUUGUUGUAAAUCUAGAGUUAAUUUUAGACCCUCAACAUUUUUUUAAUUUAAACUAUUCCUUAUUAAUUUUCUUUUUUACAAUUAUUUUUAUUUUAUAAUUAGCUAUUAUAUUUUUAAAUUCCUUAUGGGUUGACUCGAGAUUCACAAGUUAUAGUACAUCUAGACACUCUUAUAUUUGGGAGUAAUCAACUAUUUUUGAGUCAUGUUAAUUAUCAUUAUUUAUUAUUAUUGUCUUUAUUGUUAUUUUUUUAUUGUUAUUAUUAUUGUAAUAGAAACAAUUAAUACUUAGGAUAACAAUUAAAAAAAGAUAUUUUAGUAACUUAAAAUAAUUAAUUUUGAUUUUAAGAUAAAGUAAACAUAUUAAUAGUAAUAUAAUUCUGACUCAUAUAAUUUAAGUAAAUAAUUUAUUUUAAUAUAUAUUUUUCAUUUUAAUUUCAACUUAUUCCUAUUAGUAGUUAGACUUUCACCUUUGGAAGGCUCCAGGACUUGCUUAUUAGACCUUUGAUUUUUCCUCAAUUUGUUAUUCAAGUCCAUUGACUUUCUACCUCUAUUACCAGUCAUGUUGGGCUUGGAAAUCUCCACUUCUAGUAAUAAUGAGCAUGAACGUGGGCCAGAUUAUUUAAAUGGAUUCUCUAUUGGAGGUAGAUUAUUAGUUGUAAUAUUAGGAUCAUCAUUCGUCAGCCCCCUUCGCCGCAGAGAAAUUUUCUUAUCUUUAAAUUCCUGGCCCCCCUGUCUGUUGUGAAGGUUGAGUUGUGUUGGCGUUACCUCGGAUGUGAAGAACUGGCCAGAAUACUUCCAUGAGGGGCCAUGUCCACUUCUUCUACAGUGCCUAAAUGACUGCCCAAGAAGUGCCCCACCACUCUUUUGUCAAACAUACAAUCGGCAAAUUGUGAACCUAGUAACCAAAGUGACGCAUGAGAGAAAUCCAAUCAAGUUUGGAUAUGUCCCCCUUUUACCGUUGGCUGGACUAGACAAAUUUGGACCAUUCCUGUUAGGCUGAACUUUUUGAGUACAUUUUGAAAGUAACAACCAUAGUGACAUAAAUAAUGGACAUAAUACCAAUAGCACCAACAGUCCAAUGAUCCUUCUUUUUUAUUUAUUUAUUUUUUUUUUUUUGUUGGCUACAUUAUAGUUAUUCACUUAUUUUAUUUAUACUUAUUACAUAAAUUCAAACUCAUUUUGGGUACUAUAGUCAAUGGGCAUAAUUGUGAAAAGAAAUUUUGGGUGACUACUUGUGAAGGGGUGGAAUUUUCCUCCUAACACCCAUUUUCUUAAGAAACCGAUUAUUAAAAUUUAAAAACUUAAUUUUUACUCUACACAUCCUCUAUAUUUCCAAAAAGCUGACCUUAAUUAAAGAUAUACUUUUUUUUUAUUUUUUUCUACAAAUUUGUUUCUACAUCUGCAGCCACUUCUUACCUCUUCUGUUAGCGUUCUCGCUUUGUCUUCAUCUCAAAAAAGUACUGAAGUUGUUCUCUUAUCAAUCUCCACAAGAGCAUGCAUAUUAAUAAGGAGAAAUGAGACUUAAAUAAAUAAACAUGACAUAAUUAAAAUAUUUAAGAUUAUUAAAAUAAUAAUAUUCUGCUAUAAAAAUAUCUCUUUUCAACUUCCAGCCUGCUAUAAUACUUCUUGAAAUUUUUUUGGGUCGCAAACUCGCUUGUCCCUGUUUUAUAUUUGAUUUGCUCAAGGUUCAUAGAUGAGAAAGAAACUAUGGUAUCAGAAGCACCAAUUUCUAUUAUGUUGACACUUCUUGAGUUCGUAUCAUGUUGUUAGUUAGCUGCACUUGGGACUGCAAAGCUAUUCACGUUUUGGAUAAUUAUUUUAUGUUUCAGUUAAUAAAUUAAGUUUGUCCUAAUCUUUAGGAAGUUGUUAGUUUGUUCAACAUGUAUCAGCUUAUGGCUUGAUUCUCGGUCACUUAGUUUCUCAAUUUUUAUUAUUUAUUGUAAGCUUAAUGCAUAAAAGAAAUAAGAAUUUCCAGUAUUGCAUUCCCGCAUAUCUUUCUUUGUUCUUCCUCAAAACUCUUUAAACCUCUGUUUUUAUCUUUCCAAAUUAACACAUGUGCAUUCGCUUUGUUUGUUAUUAUUUGCGAAAUACUCUUUUAAAUUUGAAAAAGGAGAAUUUUUAAAUGAACGACCCAGAAGAAAAUGAAUUAGGGUUUAAUGUUGGGAUGACUUCUCUUAGGUGAGUGUAAAGAGAAUUAUUUCUUUACUAUAAAUUAUCUUAUUUUGUCUCCAGCAUUAAUUUCCUUUAAGGAUAAUUUAAGAAUAUAAUUUUUAUCAAAACAACAGGUGUAAAGAGUAUUUUUAUGAGUUCAAAUAUCUUGGAAAGGGUGAGAAUAACUAAUUUCCUUAUACUCUCUUUUUAAUUAAAAUUUUUAAUGUUAAUUUGGAUAAAAUUAUCUAAUUAUCUAUCUUCUAUCUUUCACACACGUUUCUUUUGUUUUGAGGGUGGAUCUACGACCACGCUCACAUUGUAGUAAAGGAGACUAUAUAUAAGUGUGUGUGGGUGGGUGUGUGUGUACACGCUUAAUAAUAGGACAUUAGGAGUCUUACCUUUAUGAAUACUUACUCUAAGCAAAAUAGUUAUAUAAAAAUGUAGAAAAUAAAAAUGCAAUUCAAAUACAAGCUAUAUAUUCUUCUUAAAAAAAUAAAUUAAAAGUUUAAAUAUAUUAAAAUCUCAAAUACUUAAAUAGAAUGAUUAAAUAAAUUAAGCAACUAAAAAUUGAUAUCUUUUCAAUUUUUCAAAAAGUAUUUUUAGUUAAAAAUAAAAAAUAAAUUAAGCCUAUUGGACACUCAAUAGCACACAACUUUGAGCUUGCUUCAAUUUAUAGAAAACAGCUUCCCUUUAGCACAGCAAUUUCUUCAUUAAAUUUCUCAAACAACAUGAGCUAUGUCUAAUAGAGCUUCAUUGUUUAAAAGACAAUAGAAUUUUAAAAUUAAUGAUAAGAUACUAAUAACUGAUAAAAUUUGAUAACUUAAUAAUAAAAUUCAACUUUAUUGCCUUAAUUAGGACAAUAACUUGAUCAAAAUUGACUUUAAAAUUAAGGUGAAAUUGGCUUGGCCGUAAAGUGAGCACUGAUAUUUGUCUUUUGUUAGUAGUUGAUCGGUGGAAAUUGGAAUAAAAGAAGAAAAUGGAACUUGAAAUUUUGACUUAAGUAUCCAUUUAAUAUUUGUAUUUUUUAAAAAUACCUUAAAACAACCUUAUAGUUAAAUAUGUUAGCCUAAAGGGUUACACAUAAUGUAAUUUUGAUGAUAACAAAAAUGUGUCUUAAGCGAUUUAAUAAAUAUUGUAUUUAACAUUUUCACAAGUUUUUGAAGGAUAAUAUUUAUGCAAGUGAAUCAAGUGAAAUCAAGUUCAAGACACUAAACGGAUAACGGCGAAAUAAAGAAUAAAGUUUAGAGCUCAACGGAUAAAUUAUUGCGACAAAUUCUUGUAAAGCCGAUAUGAUUUAAUUGAUACAUGAUUUAGAAUUUGAGAAGCUCAAGAGUUUAUUUAAAUAAUUACUUUUCAUAAACUAAAAUGUUUUAUAUUUAUAAGAUAAAAUAUUUUGUGAAUUUGAGUAAUUUGGACUAAAAUAAAAAGUUUUACAAUCUUUGAAUUUAAUAAGUAUUAUUUUAAAUUCUGAAAUUGAACCUAUUUGACAACAUUUGAAAUAUUUUGCAUCAUAUUAUAAUUUAUGAAAGAUUAUGGACCCGAAUGUAAUUCAAACAUUUGAAUUCGGAAAGAGAGUGCGGCUAACCCCCUGAGGGCUGGCGGCUAGCCGUCUGAGGAAAAUCUCAUAUUCUCAACUUUUGGAUAAAAUUGUAAGGAUUUGAGAACUUUGACAUUUAUGAAUAUUUUGUUAAACUUUGAAAAGGAUGUCUUUGAAACAUAUUAUUAUAUAUUGGGCCAUAACAUAGUUUCAAAAAGUUUUGGGAAUGAUAAAUAUUAUUUAAAAAUUCUAAAAUUGGAUCUUUUUGUAAAAUUUUAUGACAUUUGGGCUAUAGUACAAUUACAAAGAGUUUUAGACAAAAAUAUAAUUUUAUGAACAGUGUUAAGUGGCUAACUGCUUGGGCGCGGAAAUUUACCUAUAACGGCUAGUUUUCGAGCUUUAACUAUAAAAACUCAACUCCAACUUCAUUUUAAAUAUUAAUGUAAGGAUAAACAAGAUCACAUAACACAUAUUGAGCUUCCAUUUCGCAAAUCAUCAUUUAUUGAAUCAUUAUUGUGCUAUUAUUUACAUAUCCACUCUUAAAGAGAGUUUUUGUUGUAAUUUUCAUUUCUCAUCAAAUUGUGAGUGUACAAGUGUGAGAAACACUUGGGGUGAAGAGAUUUGGGAGAUAAUAUCUUGAUUGUAAAGGUUAUUGACACAUUGGAAGUCAAUUGUAAGAACUUGAGGCCUUGAGAGGCUUGGAUAGUGAAAUCUUUAGCUUGGUUGGCUUGGAGGUGUGGACGUAGGCGGAGAUUGCCGAACCACGUAAAAAUUAUUGUGUUUGAUUUCUAUUCCCUUACUAUUUUAUUAUUGUGCUUUACUAAAUUUAUUGUUUUUGUAUUUGAUUAAGGCAAUAGAUUAAAUUGUUUAGCAUAAGUUUUAAAAUCCCAAUUCACCCCCCCUCUUGGAUUGCAUAACUUGCAUUUCAAAAUAUAUUACAUUCUUUCUUUUACUUUUUUUACAAAAAUACCUUUCUAAUAAUAUUCUUGACAUUAAUUUAUUUAUUAAUAAGAAAUUAAUUAACAAAUUAACCAAUACUUAUUUACUAAACCAAUAAAUAUUGAUGUAAAAGAAUUAUUAUUAUUUAUUUAUGCAACAAGUUUACUAAUAAUUAUUUAUAAAUAAAAUUAAUAUCAAUCAACUUAAAUCAAUUUUUAUACAAAAAUACCCUUGCAAUAAAAUUCUUGGGAAUACCAAUAAAAAGAAAAAAAUUUUAUCAAAUUGACUUAGAAAUAACAUAAAAAUUUACACAAACUUUUAUAUUAUUAUAAUUUUUUUUUUUUACUUUUAGGAUUAACUUAGGAAAUUAUUUUUCUAUAAAAUAAUUAUUAGUAAGAUUGCUAUAAGGAUGUUUGACCCACUCAAAUCAACCCCCACUCUUUAAUUAACAAAAAAAUAUUACCAAAAUUACCUUUUAAAAAUAAAUAUAGUUUUUUAUUUUAAUUUUUGGUCUCUCUCAAAAUUCAUCAUAUUGAAUUCUUGAUCUUCUAAUAUAAAACGGCAAAGCCAUUAGUAAGAAUUAAAUCUGCAAUAAAAAUAUAAUGAUUUGUAUGGGGUUCAUAUCCGGAAAAACAAAAUAAAUUUAUAUCAUGGGGUUAUCAUUGUUUCUCUAAAUUCAUUUUACAGCUAAAUUUUCUUACUAUUCAUGCAAGCAAACUUUUCAAUUGCAUAUCAGACUGCGAUGGUGGUGAGGAAAAAAAAAUAAACAAUUUUUUUUUUACAUUUUAAGGAUAAUUUUAAAAAUAAAAUGAUUAAUUGAAUACCGGAAAAUAAUGAGAUCAAUUAAAGGAUCAAAUAUCAUUUCAAAGCUAUGGUAAUGUGCGCUGACAAAACCUCUCAACUGCCACCGGCGGCUGACCGAUCUACCAAGAAAGCAAAGUUUAAGGCUCAAGGGGCAGAUGGGGAUAACCCAUCUCCUUUGUCUUUCCGCGACAUGCUAAUGGACAUGCACGAACAAUCUGAUAGUGGGAAGUUUGGCCGGAAGGAUGACUGGGAGUUGGAGGAGGAUGAUGUGACGUACAGGGAGGAGGAACCUAUGCCAUUCAUAGCAUUCUCAAGCAGAGUUCAUGAACGGUUAGUGGAACCCUGGGAAAACUCAGUGGUGGUCAAAAUAUUAGGGCGCAACUUGGGGUAUCGUGUUCUCAGUUCUCGGUUGAACAGGAUCUGGAGUUCUACCACAAGGUUUGAAAUAAUUGAUUUAGCUAAUGAUUAUUUCCUGAUCCGUUUCUACAACAAAAAGGAUGUGGAGUAUGCCCUUACUGAGGGACCAUGGACGGUGAUGGGGCAUUAUUUAUCAGUGCAGAAAUGGUCUCCAGACUUCGAUGUAGUUAAUAAUAAAAUCAACCGCAUCAUGGCUUGGAUCCGUCUGUCUCAAAUGAAUAUUCAAUUUUAUCAUAAGAGUAUUAUCCGGCGACUAGGGCACAUUAUUGGUCCAGUCAUCAAAAUUGACAAUAACACAAUUACGGCACAGAGAGGCAAAUUUGCUCGUCUUGCGGUUGAAUUAGAUCUUCAGAAGCCUCUAGUUUCUCAGUUUAAUCUUGAAGGAAGGAUUCAAAAAGUGGAAUAUGAAAAUUUGCCGACGAUUUGUUUCGGUUGUGGUAAAUUUGGCCACUUCAAGGAUGCAUGUCCUGAUAGUGCUGACAUUAACAUCAUGGCCAAGGACAAUCCAGCCCCUCCUACGGAGGCUGAGGGGCAAGCCGUUGUGGUGGCUGCAGCAACUGACUACCGAGAGCCUAAAUUUGGAUCGUGGAUAGUGGUGGCCCGCCAGCCGCGCCCUCGUAAAGUCUUCGCCAAGGAUAAUCCUAAAGUUCAAGAUAAGGAUCGGUACAUGCCAAAAACUAGCCAGUCUCUGUUUGGUGUUUUGGAAGACCUUGAUAUUGAGGAUGAGAUCUCUCAAGAUCAUGAUACAGACCCCGGUUCUCAACGGGAACCUAUGAUGCAUGUAUCGGAGAGCAUCCAAUUCCUAGCCCCAAAACCUCGGAGCAUGAAAACGAAAAACCCUAGUCAACUCACUCGGAAAUACCCCCCUCGUCAAGUUUCCAUCACCAUUCCUCCAAGUCAACACGUAACUGAAAAUUUUGACCCCAAUACUCAAAUUCCCACUGAUUAUUCCCACCAAAAUAACCAACCCCCAGCCAUGCAUGGCAUGCAUGCUCCACCCAAAUUUUCCACGUCCACUCAUUCUGCUCCAUCUAAUGCCGCCUCCACUUCCAUGCAUGGUAUGCAUGCUUAUCAUAAUCAUGGCCAACACAAUCCAGGUCCAUUUCCAGUAUCCAUCACCCUUAACCCGCUACACCAUAGUGCCGUAUCUUUCUCCAAGACUUUUUCCCCAAAGGCAACUAAUCAUCCCCCCUCUCAACCUGUUGGUGACCCCUCUCUUGUUGGUGAACCACCGGACAAGGGCAAUCUGAAUGACCCUUACAUUAUGGAAGCCAUUGUUGAGCCUGAAGACUCCCCAGUUGCAAGCAGGAGUGGCUCUCCUUUGUCUACUACUGAUAUCUUAUUUGUUGCUGAUUCUGGCAUGGAAAUUGAGGCUGCGGCUUUGGAGUCCUCCCAGUAACUCCACUUGUUUCCCUUUCCAAUAAAUUUUAUGUUUAUUAGAACCAUGUUUUGGAAUUCUCAAGGUGCAGCGUCACCGUCUUUUUGUCGUUCCUUUUCGGUUUUAGUUCAGAAUUACAAGCCUUCCCUGGUUGUGUUGAUGGAGCCCCGUAUUAGUGGUUAUAAGGCUGAUCAUUUUAUUAAAAUAAGUGGCUUUGACAAAUCAUUCCGGGUGGAAGCAGAGGGUUUUUCUGGUGGCAUUUGGGUCCUAUGGAAAGAUAUUUUUUAGGUUGAGAUUGUUGCCAGCCAUUCUCAGUUUGUUCAUCUUCGAAUUUCCAACAACAAUAAUGUUCUCUCUUGGUUGACAGCUAUUUAUGCAAGCCCUAACCCCAGUCUUAGAAAAUAUCUUUGGAGUGAGCUAGAUAAUUUAGCUCAAACAGUUUAUGGUCCCUGGAUUUUGGGUGGGGACUUUAACACUAUUUUGUACGAUUCGGAAAAGAAAGGUGGGUCCCCUACAGGCACAGGAGCUUGCACUCUCUUCCAGUCUUGGUUCAACCUUCACAACAUGCAUGAUCUUCAAUCUCAUGGGCCACGUUUUACUUGGUCACGUGGAAGCCUAUUAAAACACCUUGAUCGCGUUAUUUGCAACAGUGAGUGGGCUCGUACCUUUUCCAAUUCUUUUGUGCUCCAUCUGCCGAAACUGAACUCUGAUCAUAGGCCUAUCCUGGUGCGAAGUACUGAUUUGUCUUCGAGAGUUUCGAUCUCUCGUCCUUUUCGGUUUCAAGCGGCUUGGCUUACUAAUGAAGGUUUCAAAGAAUUUGUGUCUGAAUCUUGGGAUCAGAACCUUCAUUACUUAGAUGGUGCUAAUAAAUUUCGUCAUAAGGUUACUGAAUGGAACAAGCAGUGUUUUGGGAAUAUUUUUUGGCGGAAAAAAUGUUUAUUAGCUCGUUUGGGAGGGAUUUAGCGGGCUUUAGAAAGAUAUUACUCUAAAGGGUUAUUAAAUCUUGAGAAACAACUAAACGCGGAUCUGGAAGAGGUGCUCACCCAAGAGGAAAUUAUUUGGCAUCAGAAAUCUCGGAGGGACUGGCUGCUUCUCGGUGAUCGUAAUACAUGUUACUAUCAUCACAAAACUCUUUCUAGAAGAAAACAAAAUAAUAUAGCGGCCAUCCAAAACAAUGCAGGGCUUUGGCUUUAUGAGGAAGAGGAAAUUAAAUCUCAUGUAAUUCAGUUCUACUCAACGUUAUUCUCUUGUGAUUCUCCUGACCUUCAGCACUACCCCCAUCCAAAUUGUUUUCCGCUUAUUAAGGAUGACUUGCUCCAUACCUUAAAUAAGUGCGUGGAGGAUGCUGAAAUUAAACAAACUAUCUUCAGCAUGCACCCUCUGAAAGCCCCGGGUCCUGAUGGUCUCCAUGCCAUUUUUUAUCAGACGCAGUGGAACACUGUGGGCUCUCCUUUAUGUCGUUUGGUGAAAGCUGUUUUCCAUGAAAAAUAUAUUCCUUUGGGGCUCAAUUCCACGCUGAUUGCUCUCAUUCCCAAGACAGAAAGCCCCUCCUCGUUGAAAAUGUACCGUCCUAUCUCCCUUUGCAAUGUUGGCUAUAAGACUAUCACCAAGCUGUUGGCUAAUCGCCUUCAAUCUAUUUUACCCUCUCUGAUUGGCCCCCAUCAAACUAGCUUCGUCCCUGGUCGUCAUAUCACGGAGAACAUCGUGAUUGCUCAAGAGGUUGUUCACUCUAUGCGCAAGAAGACGGGCUCUACUGGUUUUAUGGCUAUUAAAGUUGAUUUAGAAAAGGCUUAUGAUCGUCUCAGUUGGGAGUUUAUCAGUGAUACUCUGCGUGAAGCUCGCAUUCCUUCCGAUCUUAUUCAUGUUAUUAUGGCAUGCAUCACUUCGGUUACUAUGAGGGUUUUGUGGAAUGGGGAGGCUACGGAUGAAUUUUCUCCUUCCCAAGGAAUUCGUCAAGGCUGUCCAUUGUCCCCUUACCUAUUUGUCCUUUGCAUCGAACGGCUCAGUCACGGGAUUCGCAAUGCUAUUAGUGCCGGGAAGUGGCGUCCGAUCGGGUUAUCUCGCCAUGGAACACGUUUAUCUCAUCUUUUUUUUGCGGAUGAUCUUCUUUUGUUUGCAGAGGCUACAGUUGAGCAAGCUAGAGUUAUUUCAACAGUGUUAGCAGAAUUUUGUGCUUGUUCUAAUGCCAAAGUUAAUACAAGUAAAACUCUGCUUUAUUUUUCAAAGAACAUAGGUGCCAGAGAUGUCUCUGCAAUUUCGGGUCUUCUUGGCUUCUCAGUUACUUCUGACCUCGGCAAAUACCUUGGGGUCCCUCUUCACCAUUCAAGGGUUUCUACCAAUAUGUAUAAAGGGAUCAUCGAUAAGGUGGAGAAGCGGCUGUCGGCUUGGAAUGCCUCUCAUUUGUCCUUGGCUGGCCGCAUCACUCUAGCUCAGUCAGUUCUCCAGGCAAUUCCCAUCUAUGUUAUGCAGACUGUUUCCCUUCCUCGUGGGGUUUGUGAGAAAAUCGAUAGAGCGUGCAGGAGGUUUAUUUGGAGCGGUUCGUCUCCUCAACAGAAGCUCAACAUGGUUAGUUGGAAGAUUGUGUGCAAGCCUAAAGCUUCUGGCGGUCUUGGUUUCAAGUCUUUGGCAAUGAUGAAUCGGGCUUUACACAUGAAGCUAGCUUGGGGCAUAAUCUCCUCUUCGAAUAAUUUUUGGGUCCAGGUCCUUACUUCGAAGUACAAAGUGGAUCCUUACAACUUGCCUCCCGUCCUUCCAACACGCUAUGGUUCUCACUUGUGGAAGUCUCUUGGGCAGGUUUGGAGUGAGGCUCUUGCAAGCAGGCGCUGGAGUUUGGGUGAUGGUCAAUCUGCUCGUUUUUGGUGGGAUCUUUGGGUCACUGAUACGGUCCCUUUAAUCGCAUGCGCAACAAAUACUAUACAUGUGGGCAUUUUGGAUUGUAAGGUGGAAGAUCUUGUUGAUGUAAAUGGGGCUUGGUGUUGGCCUCGUUUUGAUCGAUAUCUUCCCAACCAUAUUGUUCUACAAAUAGCUGCUCUUCACCCCCCUUCCCACGUGAAAGGCAUGGACACUAUCUUUUGGGCUCAUUCAAAACACGGAGCUUUUUCUACAAGCUCGGCGUAUUUGGCUCUCUCUGAGUACGAUCCAAAGUCUGAAGAUAGAGAUUGGCAGUUAGUAUGGAAGUGGAAAGGCCCUCAAAGCGUGAGAAUCUUCUUGUGGCAAGCGUUUCACGUUGGUUUGAAAACUAAGGCUGAGUUGGCUCGGCGGCACUUACCCAUCUCGCCUUGUUGUGAUCGUUGUAGGGCUGUGUGUGAAGAUAUUACGCGUGCUCUACGUGAUUGUUGGUUGGUUAAGCAGUUUUGGCUCAACAUUAUUCCGACAAGCAAACGUCACAGUUUCUUUAAUUCUCGGCUUCAUCUUUGGCUAUGCUCGAAUCUGGUUGUUAAUCGUAAGGUAGGGAAUGUUUCAAACUGGGCUGUUUUUUUUGGAGUGGCGAUAUGGCGGAUCUGGUAUUGGUGUAAUCAGUUUCUCUUUAACAAAUUGAUGUUAGACCCUUUGGCUUUGUUGGUGGAUGUCCAUACAAGAGCUGAGAAGAUUCACAAGCUUCAUAACCACCUGUUGCUCACUAGGAAUAUUAGGACUCACAUGUGGAUUUCUUGGCAUCCUCCUGAGUGGCCCUGGUGUACUCUGAAUACGGAUGGUGCUCACAAGUCUCACGGAAAUUCUACUGCAGGUGGUUUAAUUCGAGAUCACUUAGGACGUUGGCUAAUAGGCUUUGGGAUGAUGAUUGGUUCUUGCUCUAUUACUGUCGCGGAGCUCUGGGGCUUAUAUCAAGGGUUUCAGCUUGCAUGGAAUUCUGGUAUCCGUAGAUUGAAAGUUGAAACGGAUAGCCUUUGCGUUACUCAAUUGGUGGCUAGACCUUCGGUGGUGACCAAUGAAUAUGCUCCCUUGGUCCAGGCUAUAAAAGAUUAUCUCAAAUUGGAUUGGCAUGUUUCCAUUUCUCACAUCUACAGAGAAGCAAAUUUUGCUGCAGAUUAUAUGGCGAACCUCGCUUUUUCUAUUCCGCUAGGCUUUACUGUGUACCCUUCCCCCCCUUUGGGCGUUAGGGCUCUGUUAUUGCAUGACUCUUACGGGGUUUCUCACCCCCGUUCUGUUGUUCUCUAGCUCUUCUUAGAGCCCCAAUUAAUCAAAAAAAAAAAAAAUCAUUUCAACAAAAGUAUUAUUAUUAUUAUUAUUAUUAUUAUCAUCAUUAUUUAUUUUUUAAACUGGUUCAAAUGUGCUCUAUUUCAUUAUAUUCUUAGAACUUGAGUUAAACUUGAAAUUGUCACUCUCUUUGCACAAUUUAAGAGAGUAGGUUCGCAUCUCAAGGAAUUCUAUAUUUCAUAUUUGUCACGAGUAACAAACAAAAAAAAAAAAGAAGAAAAUCUAGAAAUUGUAAAUGGAAAAUAUGAGAAAUUUGAAAUUACCUGCAAAAUGAUUUUAUCCAGUCAAGAUGAGACGGUGAUCAUUCAAGAUAACGAAUAGAUUCCUUUCAAGAUUACAACUGGACAUGAGCUGACAGCAUUUUUUUUUUCUCUCUUUUUGAGCUUUUGAGAAGAACAGGAGAGCACGUUUUUUUUUUUUUUCAUUUUUUUCUUUUUUUUUGAUGCUAGGAGAGCACGUUAAUUAAACAAACAAACACCAAUCGACAAAAUUAUAAACGACAAGAACAAUUAUUUCAUUCAAGUUUAUGUGGUGAUAAUUCAAUAUAACAUUGGGGCACGAUGAGGAUGGUCAACAGACAAAUUACCAUCACAAUAAACGUGUCAAAUAAUUGCAGGUGCGCCCCGAAGAGAGGAAGAAUCUCCAAAUUAUCGGAUAAUGAUAGCAGAAUGGUAUUGCUUCAGAAGUAAUCUUGUAUUAAUUCUGAAUUUGUCCUGAGUACUGAAUUAAUAAUCAAUAAUUAUUUUACGUGGCCCUCAAAUAAUUGCUGUCUAUUUAUCUAAUGUUCAGGAUAAGCUCAGAUCAGCACCGGAUCCGUUUUCCAAUUUUUCUUCCCCAAAUUCUGUUUCUGUACACUGUAAGUAUUUUUCAUCCUCAUUUUCUUGUAUCCAUUUUGCGUGGCCCUCAAAUAAUUGCUGUCUAUUUAUCUAAUGUUCAGGAUAAGCUCAGAUCAGCACCGGAUCCGUUUUCCAAUUUUUCUUCCCCAAAUUCUGUUUCUGUACACUGUAAGUAUUUUUCAUCCUCAUUUUCUUGUAUCCAUUUUGCGUUAUGUCACCAUUUAUUUUCAUCUCGACAUUUGGUUUCAAUUAGAUCACCGGAGGAAAUACGAUGGGAAGAACACAGAUCAUCUCAAAGAGCACCGUCUGUGCAGCAAUUCACAAGGAACCAAACCUUAGAAUCGAUUUAACUCUAUGGGAUCUUAAGCUCAUUCAAUUUGAUACCAUUCAGAAAGGACUUCUCUUCCGCAAACCUUCAGAGGAUAACACCGAUACCAGCAGCUUGAACUUGAUCCACCACCUCAAGACCUCCCUUUCACGUACGCUAGACUACUUUCCCCCACUUGCCGGUCGCCUAGCCACCAUCGAGCAUCGUGAUGACAGCAACACAAUUUCUGUUUACAUAAAUUGCAACAAUGCCGGCGCAGAGUUUGUGCACGCCAUGGCCGAUGGAGUCUCUGUUGCAGAUAUCAUUACACCUGUUUAUGUUCCUAAUGAAACUGUUUACUCUUUUUUCCCACUAAAUGGAGUAACAAACUGUCAGUGUAUCUCCGAGGCCAAGCCGUUGCUUGGGGUUCAAGUGACAGAGCUUGUGGAUGGAAUCUUCAUCGCUUGCACUAUCAAUCACUCCGUUGUUGACGGCACUUCCUUUUGGCAUUUCUUCAAUUCCUGGUCUGAAAUCUCACGGGGUUCUGAUUGUAUUUCAAAAGUUCCAGUUCUCGAACGUGGGUUUCUCUCUGAAUCAGAAUAUUUUCCCAUUCGCCUCCCUCUCUGGAGCAUUGAACCUUCCGGAACUCGCACUCCACCGCCUAAUUUGCAACAAAGGUUUUCCACUUUACGAAGGAAAACGUUGCAAAACUCAAAGCAAAAGCCAAUGCUGAGAUUGGUAGUACCAACAAAAUCUCCUCUCUCCAAGCAAUCCUUUCCCAUAUUUGGCGAUCUGUUACUCGUAAUCGAUCUCUUGAUCCUGAUGAAGAAGUUCAUUUCAUGUUAGGAAUGGGAGUUAGACAAAGAUUGCAACCACCACUGCCACCAGAAUAUUUUGGAAAUGCAGCUCAGGUACUGGGAGAGUUCGCAUCCAUGAAAGCUUAACAUAUAGACUUUGUAAAUUAUUUUGAAUGCUUAACAUAUUUCUUUUAAUGUGAUCAAUAAAAGUUUUAAAAGCAGUCUAACAGAUUAAUGAUAAAUAAAUUUGUUUCAUAUUAAAAAUAAUUCUCGAUGACUUGAUAAUCCUGUGAAGAAGUUCCUUUCGAACUAUCGAUAGGAGUUAGAAUAAGAUUGCAACCAUCACUGCCGCCUGAUGAAUAUUUCGGAAAUGCAAUUCUAUAAAGCGGGAGAUCAAAUUGAAUAUGCGGCACUGCGAAUGAGCAAUGUUAGUGAAACUGAUAAAAUGUGAAGAACAGAGGAAACGAGUACAUGCUGUCACUAUGUAUUUGACAGCAGCUGAAUAGCUCACUCAGCUGACGUCGCUUAGUUAGUUAUUUUGAUUUAAGCAUUCUUCACAUGUGUGUAACAAAUUGCCAACAAUUAGUAACAAAUUGCCAACAAUUAGUAACAAGUUGCUUCACUUGCUAUAUAUAUGUAUAAUCUGUACUCAUUCGAUUAAUGAGAAGUUUUUACAAGUUUCCAUUAUGAGUUUUUCAUUCAUUUUCCUUUUAACUUUCUCGCUUCCCAAACACAAAUACUUGAGUUUCUAUCAUGGUAUCAGAGCCAUCAAUGGUGUUGUAAAAAAUUUUAAUAUACUCGUAAGCGCACAAAUGUAGAAUAAAAUAAUGGUAAUAAUGUCAAACCCACAGGGAUUAUUAUAAAUUAAAAAGUCUAAUUUAAAUAAAUUAAUAUUAAUUCUAACCUAGUUGAACAAAUUGAGUUUCUAAUAAAAUUACACCAAUUAAACUAAGAAAACAAUUAAAACAAAGGAGAAUUUAAUAAGACAAAAAUUACUAAUGUUUCAGAAUCCACCACUAAUCAACUAGUAAUUACCUAAUUAUUAAUUAAUCCCCAAUUUUAGAGUGACAACUCGAAAUCAAUUUAUAUCAUCUCAUGGAUAUAACAAUUAAGCCCAAAUAAAAUUAAUCUUGUGUUGGUUCUUUUUCUUCUUAAUAAUAUGAUAUCUAAGCAUCCCAUGUAAACAUAUUGAAUAACAAAGAGUCAAAGUUUUCCGAAGCACUCUGUGUAAACAAUUUAAUGAAAGACACAGAAUCAAAGAUAAUCAUGUAUAAAUUUUAAAGACUCAAGCAUAAAUUUAAUCGGAUAUUAAGUGUAACAAUCAAUAAUACAUGACAGAAUUGAUGAAAAGAUUUUAAUAACAUUCAACUAAUCAUGUGAAACACGAACCAUAAAUAUUAAAGAACAUAUGUAGAGAAUUAAUUAAAUAAAAAGAUAAUUAUUUCAUUAAAUAGAGUUUCAUCUUUAACCUCAGUAUAAAAAAAUUAGUUAGACACACUUAAAUAGAGAAUAACAAAUAAAAUAAAAUCAGCCAUGGAGAAGCCGAACUGUUGUUGCUGCUGCCACUCCUCUUCAAAGCCAAAUACUCCCUCUUUUUCUCUCGUUUGGCGGCUGCCCUCUCAAAAACCAAAGUUGGCUUUUUAUAAUGCUUAGCCACCCACUGACUUAACAAAGCCCACUCACCAAGCCCUUUUUAAAUUGUUUCCUUAUUAAGGGUUGAAAACUAGCCACACGUUUAACUUAAAAGUAAAAGGCCAAUUAAUAGUUUCUUCUUUUAAUGCCCUGCACAUGCAUUCCAAAUUGCCAAAUCUUUGCUUUCCAAAUGCAUGCCCACCAGUCAUUAUUUGAUGAGAUUGACUUCCAAUUUUGGUCUUCUUGACUUCCAUUAAUUCUUGACUGUAUUUUUGUCUUCUAAUUUAAUCUUUAUUCCUUCCCAAUUUGAACUUCUUCAUGCCUUUUUUAUCCUUAAUCUUCAAUUAAUUUCCUAUUGAAUAAAAUAAUUCAAUUAAUUAAAAGUAAAAAAUAAAAAUAACUAGUAAAUAUGUAAUUACGGGUAAAAUAUGUAUAUAAAUUAUGAUCAUCAAAUGGCAAGCAUGAUUCAAUCCAAUACAUCCUCCUCUCCUUCAAAUAAUUCCCUACCUCAUAUCCUUCCUGCACCUCCUCCCAUUGGUCAUCCUAUGACGACCAGAUCCAAGAAUGGCAUAUUCAAGCCAAAGUCUUAUCUAUGUGCUCUUUUAGCCUAAUCAUUUGAACUUUCCUCUGUCUCUCAAGCUUUAUCUGAUCCAUUAUAAUUCAAAGCCAUGCAAGAAGAAUUUCAAGCCUUACAAGCCAAUCACACAUGAGACUUGGUACUACCUACUGCUCAUGUUAAAGUGGUUGGUAACAAAUGUGUUUUUAGAAUAAAAUACAACCUGAUGGGUCAAUACUAAAGUACAAAGCACGACUGGUUGCUAAAGACUUCCAUCAGAUACAUGGUAUUGACUACACUGAAACCUUUAGUCUAGUAGUAAAAGCCUCUACUGUCAGUAUUACUGUUAUGAAUAAUUGGGUUCUUCGGCAAAUAAAUGUCAAUAAUGCUUUUCUAAAUGGUAUUCUUGAUGGGGAAGUGUAUAUGACACAUCUCGAAGGAUUUAUUGAUCCUCAUAAACCUUAGCGCAUAUGCAAAUUGAGGAAAGCUAUCUAUGGUUCGAAACAAGCUCCAAGAGCUUGGUUUGCCAGACUUAAAACAACAAUGCUUUCUUAGUGGCAUUUUUAGAGCUCUAAGUCAGACAAUUCACUCUUCUAUAAGAGAGAAAAUUGUCAUUUACUUUUGGUUUUGGUAUAUGUGGAUAAUAUUAUUGUUAUUGGUUCUAGCUCAGCGAAAGUUCAACAAGUAAUUCAAGAUAUGUAGAAGACUUUUGCCUUGAAGGAUCUAGGAGAACUCAACUAUUUUUUAGGCAUUGAAGUCUCAAAACUUCAAAAUGUCAUUCAUUUAUCCCAGGCUACGUACAUUGCUGAUAUUUUGGCAAAAGAUGACUUAGUUAAUUGUAGUCUAGUGCCAACACCUAUGUCUACAGGUCAGCAACUCACCAAAGACUCAGGUUCUGAAAUUUCAAAUAUUUCUCAGUAUAGAAGCAUUAUUAAGGCCCUAUAAUAUGUUACUCUCACUAGACCAGAGAUAGCCUUUACUGUCAAUAAGCUUAGCCAGUUUCUAUCUAAUCCUAGAACUACACAUUGGGAGGCUUGCAAAAGGUUGUUAAGAUAUCUAAAAGGCACAAUUCAUUUUAGUCUUCAAUUUUACAAUUGUGGAGCUAUGCAGAUCAACUCUUUUACAUAUUCAGACUGGGCUUGUGAUCGGGAUGAUAGAAAAUCAGUAGUUGGUUUUGCUGUUUAUCUAGGUGCCAAUCUGGUUUCAUGGUCAUCCACGAAACAAUUAGUUGUCUCAAGGUCCAGUACAAAAGCUGAGUACAGAGCUUUGGCUCAUGCUGCAUCAGAGGUCAUUUGGAUAUAGUUUUUACUUGUUGAGCUAAGAAUUCAGCUAAGUACUACACCAAUUAUGUGGUGUGAUAACCAGGGAGCAAUUGCCUUAGCUUAUAAUUCAGUUUAUCAUGCUAAAACAAAGCAUGUUGAGCUGGACAUUCAUUUCAUCAAAGAUAGAGUGGGAUCAAAAGAAAUAGUUAUUUGUUUUGUGCAUAGUGAAGAUCAAACAACAGAUGUCUUAACUAAGGCUCUUACUUUCACUUAGUUCCAUUACUUGCGCAGUAAAUAAAAUGUUUAUCCCAGAAACGCCAGUUCCAGAGGGGAUAUAAGUAAAGAUGAUAAUUUGUGAAGAAUAAAAGAAGGGAGUAAUGUGAAAAGCAGAAACUCCAGCUUAAGAGAGGAUGUUAGUGAAACUGAUCCCUUGGAGUCCUGGAGACAAAACCUUGUGGUCUUAACAUGGGAAAGCUAGAAGACGAAAUCUUAUUGGUUUCCAAAUAGUUCGUCGAGGUUCAAUAGCAAUGAGAAGUGGUAUAAGGAAUAAUGCUUAUGGAAAUAUCACUUUGUUUACAGGAGUGGAAGAAGGUAAUGUCGACAUUGAAGCUUGCUUUUUGCCGGAGACACAACAGGGUAUAGGACAUGAGACAUAGUUCAUGCCAUCUACGUGUUAACGUCUUUGGUGAUCCUAAAAUAUUACUUUCUAAUCAUUCAUUUACACGUUAUCACGUGUAAAUGAAUGGUAUCAUAAUUAGUUAAAAGCACACAAAUGAUAAAAAGUGAAUUCAUUACUAUAACUAUGCUUUAUUUAGGCACCUCAUGCAAUAAAUUAUUUCAUCUCAAAACUCAAUUUAAUAAUUAAUCCCAUGAACAUCCAUUCGUUAGAGCAUGACAACAAAAUUUAUGUAUGGCAUAUGUGGCAGAGCAUAAUAGUUGUAGAGAAAUGGAAAUUGAAAGGAAGGAGUUGGUAGCUUAUAACUGUGAUUCAAGUUUUUGCUUUAGAAUCUUUCAAAAAAAAAAAAGUUUUUGCUUUAGAAAUUUUUUGACUCGACCUAGUAAACUGGUCAAUACCUCACGUGCUCAUUAAACUAUCAAAUUUGGGGCCCAAUUUGAUGGGCCUAGUUGGUUGCAGUGUUGGGUCUGGUUAGUCUCAACAAAUACUGGUCGUAGCCUCGUAGGCAGUUCGCAUUAGAGAUUUAUAAUGAUUGUAAUGUGUGAAUGAGUAAUAGAAAGCUCUAUUUAUUGGCACAAGGAGUAACCUUUGUGCGGUUGUGCAGAUAAAAAGAGAAAACAUGUAGUGGGUUAUAUGAAAUUAAAAGUAAUAUGUUGUUAUAAACACAAUUAGAAAACUCCUGAUUUAAGCCAUAAAAGCCUUCAACUCAACACUAAAGUAUUCAGGGAACUACACUUAUGGUUUGAAUAGAAAUGCACAACCAUGGUUCUAAUACCAAUGGCUAAAAUAAUUUUAAGCUUUACGGCAAUGAAUCCAUUCAACAUAUUUCAUAAGGGAGAAAAACUGCAUUUUAUCUUGGUUGGCCAUGAAAAAGACUUGCUGGUCAGCUUGUUUCUUGCCCGUUAAUUCAACCUUUUGUUCUUGACUUCAAUCUCAACAGCAAAAUCAAGCUCCUCAUUCACUGCACACACACACAAUUAGGAGAAAGGAGAAAAAGAAAGACAGUGUAUAAUGGAACUGCAUUUUAAAGAAAUGUGUAGAAAACAAUCAAAACCUCUACAGAAUUCUUAGUAUUUUUGUCAACACAAUACUUCUUCUUUUAAAGACAUUUAUGCCAUAGUACAAAACCUUAGCCUACAAGAUUUGUACACACAAAAUGAAAAAAGAGCCAAGUAAUUCAUGAAUAAAAAACAUAGAGCAAAGAAGGGAUAAGUAACAUAAACACGCACACGAAAUUGGCACAGAUGAACAAAGAACGAGUUGCAAGCUCUUUAUUACCGAAAGAAACGAGCCCCAUAUCAUAUGAUCUCCCUACAAGCUUUACAAUGAGCUAUCAUAUGCUUUCUAACUCUCAAAGAUUAACAAGUUACAGGCCUUAGAAACUGCCCUCGUAAAUUCAUUUUACAGCUAAAUUUUCUUGCUAUUCAUGUGAUGAGCAUAUACUAUAUACAUAUUUUACCCUUAAUUAUAUAAUUGCUAAUUAUUUUUAUUUGAUAUUUUUAAUUAAUUAAUUAUUUUGUUGAAUAAAAAAUUACGUGGAGAUUAUGAAUAAAAAAAAGGGCAUAAAGGAGCUCAAUUUCGGAAGCAUUAAUUAAUUGAUUUUCGGAGCAAUUAGGCAUAUUUGCAUGUGAAGUCAAGCCAAGGAAACCAAAUUCAACAAAUUAAUUCAUCCAUGCACAUGAAGACAAAGAAGAUUAUGGCCAUCACGUGAGAAGCAAUCACCAUUAUUGUUAGCAUGUGCAUGGCAUUAAAAAAAGGGAUUCUAAUGCAAUUCUAAGUGGUGAACACGUGUGAGAGCAAAACAAAUUAAAAGGCCAAGCCUUUCGGCUUUAGAGUUGGAAUGGUUGGUGGCUCAUUUUGGAGAUUAUAAAAAGAAAUAUGAACUUUGGCUUUUAAGAGGCCAACCGCAAGAAGAGAAAAAAGAGUGCAACGUUAGGCAUUCGGCAGAGGAGAAAAUAGCGGCAGAAGCUCUUUAAUUCUUUUAUGGUUGGUUUUAUUUUAUUUGUUGCUCGCAAUUCAAGUAUGUCUAGCUAAUUUUAUUUUACUGAGGUUAAAGAUGAAACCUUAUUCAAUGAAAUAAUUAUCUUUUUAUUUAAUGAAUUCCCUACAUGCGUGUUUUAAUGUUUAUGUUUUUUUAUUUUACAUGAUUAGUUGGAUGUUAUUAAAUCUUUUCAUCAAUUCUGUCAAGCAUUAUUGAUUGUUAGGAUUAAUAUUCAAUUAAAUUUAUGCUUUGGUCUAUAAAGUUUUUAUAUUAUUAUCUUUGAUUCUAUAUCUUUCAUUAAAUUGUUUACAUAGAGUGCUUAGGAAAAUUUUGACCCUUUGUUAUUCAAUAUGUUUACAUAAGAUGCUUAGAUAUCAUACUAUUAAGCAGAAAAGAACCUACAUUAGAUUUAAUUACUUGGGCUUAAUUGUUAUAUUCAUAAGAUGACAUAGAUUGAUUUCGAGUUGUCACUCUAAAAUUGGGGAUUAAUUAACAAUUAGAUAAUUAUUAAUUGAAUAGUGGUGGAUUCUGAAACCUUGAUAAUUUUUGUCUUAUUAAAUUCUCUUUUAUUUUAAUUGUCUUAGUUUAAUUAGUUUAAUUUAUGUUAAAACUUAAUUUGCUCAACUAUUUUAGAAUUAAUAUUAAUUUUAGAUUUAAAUUAGACUUUUCAAUUUAUAACAAUCCCUGUAGGUUUGACCUUAUUACCACUAUUCUAUUUUUAAAUUCGUGUGCUUGCAAGUAUAUUAAAAUUUUUCACAAUAAGUUUUUGGCGUCGUUACCGGGGAUUGUGCCAGAAAGUCAGUUUAAUCUAGAUUGAUUUGUUUUUUCCACUAGUUAUAAUUUAAGUUGUCUUUUAUUUUUAUUUUAUUUUUUUAAUAGAAAACACAAAAAAAUAUUUAUUUGUCUUUAAAUUUAUUGUUUGGUUGUUUGAUUUGUUUUAUUUUAAAUUCCGUUUAUUUUUAUUAUUGUUGCUUUAUUUUCCUUUCUUUGUCUAGUUAGUUUAUGAGUGUUUGGGAACGCGAUUCAACAAAUCGUUUGGUAAGAAAAGAGUCUAAAAUUGAUAGUAGUCGAGUUAGUUCUUCAAAAGUGAUGAAUGACCCAAAUAGAAUAUUGUCAGUACUUCCACCAGUGCAAGCAGAGAAAAUCCUUAGAGAAUGUUUUUCACCACUUGCAGCCAACCAACCAUCUUGUAUUGUGUUGCCACAGACUACAGCAACACACUUUAAACUCAAGCCCUCUGUCAUUUAGCUUUUACCAUCUUUCCAUGGGUUAGAGAGAGAGGACCCAUAUUUGCACAUUAAGUACUUUUUUGACAUGUGCUCUACAUUCUAUUUUCAAAAUUUUAAUGAUCAGUCAAUUAGGUUUCGUAUGUUCCCUUUCUCAUUAAAAGACAAAGCGGAAGCUUGGUUGAAUUCACUUCCUGCUGGGUCUAUUACUACAUGGGAUGAAUUAAGUAAUAAGUUCUUUACCAAGUUUUUCCCUAUGUCUAAAACAAAUGUCAUUAGGAGAGAGAUAAAUGAUUUUUGUCAAAGAGAGGGUGAACAAUUUUAUGAGUGUUGCGAAAGAUUCAAUGAUUUACUCCUCAAGUGUCCCCACCAUGGUUUUGAGAAAUUGAGACUUAUACAGUGCUUUUAUAAUGGUUUAACUAUGUCAAAUCAUCACAUGAUAGAGUCUGUGAAUGGUGGGAGAUUUUUUAAUUUACAUAAGGGGCUGCUUGAGAUUUCUUUAUUUUACUUUUUGAGAAUUCUCAACAAUGAGAUUUUUCAAAUCAAAGAAAAAAAUGAUCUCAAGUUUCUAGGAAAGUCUAUAUGAAGUUAAUGAUGAUUUUGAUGUUAAGGUCAUUCUAGCUACACUUUCUAAGAAAAGUAGAUACCUUAACUCUGAACCAAUCAAUGAAUCAUCACCCUAGUGUACCUAAUGAGGUUUGUACUCUUUGUUCUAACUUGUCUCAUACAGCACAUAAUUGUCCAUCAUUGCCAGCCUAUCAAGAGGCUUAUUCUGAGCAAGUACACGCCUUACAAUCAUAUGAAAAAAACCUUCAAUAGUCCAUAUUCAUCCACAUAUAUUCUUAAUUGGAGGAACCACCCUAAUUUUUCUUGGAAACAAAGUCAGCCUUUAUCAAACUAAGGAGGACAACAAUUCAACGUACCCAAUCAACAAUUUGUCCUUACUAACCAAGUAUAUCCUCCUGCCCAACAGCCUGUGUCUCAAUUUGUUACACCUUAGCAAAGAAAACCUUCUUCAGAUGAUACACUUCAAAGUUUCAUUCAGUCAACCCAACAAGCUUUUCAGUCAAACACUCAAGCUAUUCUAAAGCUUGAACAUCAAUUGGGUCAAUUAGCAACUGCUAUGGCUGAGAGAAAAAAAUGAAAAUUCCCAAGUCAACCAGUUCUUAAUCCUAAAUGAGUGCAUAAAGUUGGAUCAACUUCAAGCCAUCAGUAUAAAGAAGCAAAAUCUAUUAUGACCUUGAGAAAAUGAAAAAUAUUUGACAAUAAGGUGGAGGUUCGAACAAGAAAGACAUCUGAACCUACUUCUGCAUAUCCAGUUCCAUCACAAGACUCAUCACUAAAUGAUCCAGAAGAAAGUAAUCCACCAGCUUACAUUCCUAAGGCUUAUUUUCCUUAAAGGUUAACAAAGGUAAAGAAAGAGACUUCAACAUGUGAGAUUAUAGAAAUCUUCAGGCAUGUAAGUAUAAUCAUCCCUUUACUCGAUGGUAUUAAGCAAGUUCCUCAUAUGCCAAGUUUUUGAAGGAUUUAUGAACUAAAAAAAGAAAUUUGCAUGUCACCAAAAAUGCAUUUUUAACUGAACAAACUAGCAAUUUACUUCAAUAUAAAAUGCCACCAAAAUUUAAGGAUCCAGGUUCCCCUACUAUCUCAUGUGUUAUAGGGAACCAAUUGUUUGAUAAAGCAUUAUUGGAUUUGGAUGCAAGUGUUAAUCUCUUGCCUUACUUUGUUUACAUGCAGCUUGGAUUACAUAAAUUAAAGUCAACUUCCAUUAUUUUGCAACAUGCAGAUAGGUCAAUGAAAAUACCUCAUGGUAUUAUAGAGGAUGUGUUGAUACAGAUUGAUAAAUUUUAUUAUUUUGUUGACUUUAUUGUUAUUGAUACUCAGCAUGUACAAGAUCCUAAGAAACAUACCCCAGUUAUUUUAGGUCGUCCUUUCUUAGCUACAGUUGAUGCUCUUAUUAAUUGCAGGAAUGGAAACAUGCAAUUAUCUUUUGGUAACAUGACCAUGGAAUUAAAUAUUUUUAAUGUUCCUGAUAACUCUAUGAAAUGAGAGUUAUUACAUCAAUUCUAAACUUAAAUCAAGAUCACUUAGAGAACAAAUAAGGUGUUUUUAUUACAUUUUGGUUAUAUUUUGCAUAAACAUUCAUUUUAGUUAAGUUUUAAUAAGUUUUGUUUAAAUCAAAGUAAUUGGUGCUAAAAACAGUUGCAUAAUUGUAGGUUUUCAGAAAGUCUUAAUUCAUGAGAGGAUGGUGAGACAUUAGAUGAGCAAGGGGAGGAAAGAAGAUAGCCGCAAAAGAAGUAAAGCACAAUCGAGAAUAGUACAGUGUUGUAGCGGAUGUUAAAGCAACCAGUGGUAUAACAAUCUGGGAGCAAUGCUGGAGAAAAUUUAGGCACGGGUCAGCUGCAGAAUCGCGAUUUGCAUGUUUCCUAAUUUAACUCAUGCACGCUUAUGGACUUUUGUUUUACUCUAGUUUGCAGUAUAAAAGAUAGGCGUGCACCACAUAAAGAGGCGACAAGAGGAAUUAUCAUAAAAAAUCAUUAGAGAGAAAAAGAGAAGAAGAUCAGAAUUAAAGAGUGUUGUUUCGGCAACAUUGAGGAAUCUGGCAGAAUUAUUCGAAUUUGUCUUUCACUAUGGUCAACUGAUAUUUAUCUUCUUCUUUUGAUUGUUUUAAUGUAUCCCGUGAACAACAUAUUUAUGUUUGUUUUUCUUAUUCAGAAUAUGAACUAGAUUUGCUUGUAGUUGAGUGACAAACAAUCCAAUGGGUUCUUGACUGUUCUUAUGUGUUGUUAUGUCAUUGCUGUAGCAUUAUACUCUAGUAGUUAUUAUUAAUAUAACUGUUAUUUCGGUUGACCACCCAUUUAAUAGUUCCAGUUAAGAUAGAGCAGCAAAAAUGCAUGUCUUAGCGGACAUUAUUAGAGUAUUACUUGAUCUUAAGUUAAGUUUCCUAGAUUAAGUUAUCUUGAAUCCCAUAAGGGCAAUACUUGAAGUUAAGAUUUGUGACACACUAGACAUAGGUGCUCACCUUGUAGGGUGGAGAGAUAAAAAAAGAUCAUAAAGCCAUAUCAUGAGUAGAUUAGCAACUGGUCAUUGCUAGUGUAUUUAAGGGUAUGAGAGUUCCAAUAUGCAACAGCUGAGGAUGCAGAUUAAUUCCGCCCAGUACUGCAGCACUUGCUGUAACAAUUGGAGUCCACUUGAUGAAAAACAGUCAGCCCAUAAGGAGAGUUUGAUCAUUCAACUACCAUGUUCUUACUUGAAUCUUAGACACAUUUAGUUUAGUUUAUUUCAUUGUGGUUUUGUUUAUUUUAUUCUCUCACAAUCAUUAAUUACGAUAGAACACAUUUUACGUUUGUUAACUUCGGAUUUGAAUUAGUUUGCACUAUUGUGAUUGCUACAAUAUUUUUGGUAACAUCAAUCCCUGUGGAGACGAUCUUGAAUACUCAUCACUUUAUUACUUGUUGUGUACACUUGCACAUUGACAAUAAUAGCUUUUGAUUAUAAAAUCAACCAACAAGUUUUUGGCGCCGUUGCUGGGGGUUGAUUAUUUAUUUUUGAAGUGUUAAGUAAAUCUUGAUAGCACCAAAUUUGAUUUAAUUCAUUCUAUUUAUUGGCAGAUCAAUACUUGCAUGCGCAAAGACAGAUAUGUGAUGUUUCAGUUCGAUCCUGAGAUUGAAAUGACUGUUAGGAGAUUGCGAAGAGAACAAAGGAAGUCAAAAACUGUUUCAAGCAUGAAUAAUUUACAGGAUGAGGGAAAUUGAACCUUCACGGGCCCUUACAACCAGUUAACAUUCAAGAAGAGCAGAAUGAACAUGCUAACGAGAGACAACCAGGCAAUAACAAUAUUAUUUACAUGGCUAAUGACAGAGACAGAGCUAUUAGAGAUUAUGCUGUGUUAACUCCUCAAGUUGUACACCUUGGGAUAAUCAGACCUGAAGUAGAAGUUGUAAAUUUUGAGUUGAAGCCAGUGAUGUUUCAAAUGUUGCAAACAGUUGAUCAAUUAAAUAGAUUACCAAAUGAAGAUCCUCAUCUCCAUCUUAAGUUGUUCUUGGAAGUGAGUGAUGCUUUCAAGAUUGCUGGAGCAACACAAGACGCCUUAAAGCUGAGACUUUUUCCUUAUUUCUUAAGAGAUCGAGCAAGAGCAUGGUUAAAUUCGUUACCAUCUGAUUCCAUCACUACAUGGAAUGAGUUGGCUGAUAAAUUCCUAAUGAAAUAUUUUUCACUGACAAAAAAUGCAAAGUUGCGGAAUGAGAUAACUUCUUUUCAUCAACUUAAAGAUGAAAGUUUGUACGAGGCUUUGGAAAGAUUCAAAGAAUUGCUCAGAAGGUGUCCUCAUCAUGGCAUUCCUUGUUGCAUUGAAUUGGAAACUUUCUACAAUGGGUUGAAUCCAAGUACAAGGUUAAUGGUGGAUGCUUCAGCAAAUGGAGCCCUGUUAUCCAAAUCUUAUACUGAAGCUUAUGAAAUUCUGGAGAGAAUUGCCAAUAAUAAUUAUCAGUGGCCAUCAACCAGGCAACCAGCAGUAAGAGGAUCAGUAGGGGUACAUAACAUAGAUGCAAUUACAGCCUUAUCAGCACAAGUAACCUCAUUGACUAACAUGGUAAAGACCAUGACAUCUGCUCCAACAGUAGUGAAGCAAGUUGCGGAACUUUCUUGUGUAUACUGUGGUGAAGGACACGACUUUGAUAAUUGUCCUGGAAAUCCAGCAUCAGUAACUAUGUGGGUAAUUUCAAUCGACAGCCUCAGAACAACCGAUAUUCAAAUACUUACAACCCUGGAUGGAAACAACACCCAAAUUUCUCAUGGAGUAGUCAGAAUCGAAAUGCUCCAGCAGUAAAUGGACAAAAUAGGAACACUCAACCAUCUGGAUUUCAUCAGCAGAGUCAGGGGAAAAAACAUAGCAAUCAGGAUCCAAUCAUUUCACUGGAAGCAUUGAUUAAAGAGUACAUUACAAAGAAUGAAGCAAUUGUGCAGAGUCAAGCCGUAUCCUUGAGGAACCUGAAAAAUCAAAUGGGACAACUUGCCACAGCAAUGAGUAGCAGGACUCAAGGAAGUUUACCUAGCAACACAGAAGACCCUAGGAGAGAGGGUAAAGAACACUGCAAAGCAAUUAAUUUGAGAUCUGGAAAAAAUGUUGAUAUCCCAAUUGAUGUGAUUAACAAGGGUAAGGAAGUUAAUUCCUCACAAAAACCACCUCAAGAUGGAAGCAUGUUACAACAACCCAACCAUCAAAACACUAGUUACAUGGGCCAAGCUACAGCAACUGCAGAGGGAGUUCAAUCAGAACAUGUUGAAAAAGAAGUUGCAACACCAGUAGCCACGACCUACACCAAACCAAACAAACAGAGUUUGGUACCUCCUGAAGCUACCCAGCAGUUUAGACAUCCACCACAUUUCCCACAGAGAUUCCAGAAGCAAAAACAAGACAAGCAGUUCAGUAAAUUCCCGGAAGUGCUGAAACAAUUACACAUAAAUAUACCUUUUGUGGAAGCCUUGGAGCAAGUGCCAAAUUAUGUGAAAUUUCUAAAAGACAUCUUGGCACGAAAGAGAAUGCUGGGAGAGUUUGAAAUUAUUGCUUUAACACAGGAAAGCAGUCAUAUGCUCCAAAGUAAGAUUCUUACAAAAGUGAAAGAUCUAGGAAGUUUUACAAUAUCAUGCUCUAUAGGAACUAGGUAUACUGACAGAGCACUUUGUGCUUGGGAGCUAGUAUUAAUUUAAUGCCAUUAUCUGUAUUUAAGCAGCUGGGAGUAGGGGAAUACAGACCAACAACAGUCACUCUGCAAUUAGCUGACAGAUCUCAUGCAUACCCUGAAGCAAAAAUUAAGGAUGUACUGGUGAAGGUGGACAAAUUCAUCUUCCCAGUAGACUUCAUUGUACUAGACUUUGAAGCUGAUAAAGAGGUGCCCAUUAUACUUGGAAAACCUUUUCUAGCAAUUGGAAAGACUUUGAUAGAUGUGCAAAAAGGAGAGCUCACCAUGAGAGUAAAUGAUCAGCAAGUCACAUUUAAUGUACUAGAGGCUAUGAGAAGUCCUGAUGAAGUAGAAGAUUACAAUUUCCUAAGUGUUGUGGAUUUUGUUAUAGCAGACAGAAUGGACAAAUGCUGCAGUAAUGAAAUCAACAAAGUCACCACCUUUGAGAAUGUAGAAGAGGAAGAUGUUGUAGAAAAUCAGAUAGAUUGGAUAAAAGAAAAGAAAUUUGAUAGGCACAACAGGUUUAUUGAGCAUCUGAAUCUUUCAGACAGGAAAGUAAAAAUAACUUUACCAUCUAUUGAAUCACCUCCUAGUCUUGAAUUAAAAUUGUUAUCUUCACAUUUGAAGUAUGUUUAUCUUGGUCAAAACAACACACUCACUGUGAUCAUUUCUUCUACUUUGGAUGCAGGUCAAGAACAGAGUUUAGUAGAUUUGUUGGGAAAAUACAGAAGAGCAAUUGAAUGGACCAUGGCAGACAUCAAGAGGAUAAGCCCAUCAAUAUGCAUGCAUAAAAUCCUGUUAGAAGAUUGCUACAGCAAUUCGGUGGAGCAUCAGAGAAUGUUGAACCCUAUUAUGAAAGAAGUGGUGAAGAAGGAAAUCAUCAAAUGGUUGGAUGCUGGACUCAUAUACCCAAUAUCAGACAAUUCGUGGGCGAGCCCAGUUCAAUGUGUUCCAAAGAAGGGAGAGAUAACUGUGAUAGUUAAUGGGAUGGAUAACUGUGAUAGCUGAUGAGAGAGAUGAACUUAUUUCUACAAGAACAGUGACUAGAUGGAGAGUAUGUAUGGAUUACAGGAAGCUCAAUAAAGCCACAAAGAAAGACCACUUCUCACUCCCAUUCAUAGAUCAGAUGUUGGACAGACUUGUUAGAAAACAAUACUAUUGUUUCCUAGAUGGGUAUUCAGGCUACAACCAGAUUGCUAUAGCUCCAGAAGAUAAGGAAAAGACUACAUUUACUUGUCCUUAUGGAACAUUUGCCUUCAGAAGAAUGCUCUUUGGGUUGUGCAAUGCUCCAGCAACUUUUCAGAGAUGCAUGAUGUCUAUUUUUUCUGAUAUGGUAGAACAAACUUUAUAAGUUUUCAUAGAUGACUUUUCAGUUUUUGGAGAGACAUACAAUGAUUGUUUACACAACUUAGAAGAAGUUCUUAAAAGAUGUGAGAUGACUAACUUAGUACUUAAUUGGGAAAAAUGUUAUUUCAUGGUGCAAGAAGAAAUAAUGUUGGGUCAUAAGGUGUCCAAGAAAGCCAUUGAGGUAGACAAAGUCAAGAUAAAGGUAAUAAAUAAACUGCCACCCCCCACUCAAUAAAGGGUAUAAGGAGUUUUUUGGGCCAUGCUGGAUUUUACAGAAGAUUCAUUAAGGAUUUUUCCAAGGUAGCUAAACCAUUAUGCUCAUUGCUGGAACAUGACAAGCCCUUUCACUUUGACAAAGAUUGUCAUCAAGCAUUUGGAGAAUUAAAGAAAGCUCUUAUCACUACUCCAGUUGUUAUAUCUUUAGACUGGACGUUACCAUUUGAAUUGAUGUGUGAUGCUAGUGAUCAUUCUAUUAGAGCAGUAUUAGGACAAAAAAAGGAUAAGGUUUUUCACUCCAUAUACUAUGCAAGCAAAACUCUUACUCAAACUCAAAUCAAUUACACCACUACAGAGAAAGAGUUGCUAGUAGUAGUAUUUGUUUUUGACAAAUUCAGGGCCUACUUGGUGGGUACUAAAGUGAUUGUAUAUACAAACCAUGCAGCCAUCAAAUACUUAAUUUCAAAGAAUGAUGCCAAGCCAAGAAUAAUCAGAUGGAUCUUAUUGCUUCAAGAAUUUGAUCUGAAAAUUAAAGAUAGAAAAUGGACUGAGAAUCAAGUAGCAGACCACCUGUCACGGCUGGAAGCAAAUACAAGUACAUUGACAAGAAAUGACAUCACUGAAACUUUUCCUCAUGAACAGCUGUUGGUAGUACAACAAGCACAUAUGCUGCAGUUAGGAUCUCCAUAGUAUGCAGAUUUUGCUAACUACUUGGUAAGUGGAUUGCUACCACCUGAGCUGAAGUUCCAAGAGAAAAAGAAAUUUCUUUAUGAUGUAAGAAGUUAUCAGUGGGAUGACCCACAUUUAUAUAAGUUGUGCUCAGAUCAAGUAAUACGAAGAUGUGCUGCAGAAGGAAAGAUUCCCCACAUACUGGAGUCAUGCCAUGCUGCAGCAUAUGGAGGACAUUUUGGUGGUCACAGAACAGUUGCUAAAGUUCUGCAAUCAGGUUAUUACUAGCCUACCAUUUUUAAAGAUGUUUAUGAAUUUGUUAAAUGUUGUGACAGGUGUCAAAGGACAGGGAACAUAACUAGAAGACAUGAAAUGUCAUUGACCAACAUUCUAGAAGUGGAAGUUUUUUAUGUAUAGGGAAUAGAUUUCAUGAGACCUUUUCAACCAUCCUUUGGGAACUUGUAUAUCCUUGUUGCUGUGGAUUAUGUCUCCAACUGGGUAGAGGCUGCAGUAUUACCUACCAAUGAUGCUAAAGCAGUGGUGGUUUUUCUUCAGAAAAAUAUUUUUUCCAGGUUUAGCACUUCUAGAGCAAUUAUUAGUGAUGAGGGUACUCAUUUUUGCAACAAAGUCUUUGCUGCAGCUAUGGUAGAAUAUGGAGUCAGACACAAGGUAGUAACAACAUAUCACUCGUAGUUCAAUGGUUAGGCUGAAGUGUCCAACAGAGAAAUUAAAAAGAUCUUAGAAAAAGUGGUGAACCCAACAAGGAAUGAUUGGUCUUUGCAAUUACAUGACUCUCUAUGGACCUACAGAACAGCAACAAAACUCCACUUGGCAUGUCUCCUUACCGAAUUGUUUAUGGGAAGGCUUGUCAUUUGCCACUAGAGCUAGAGCAUAACGCACACUAGGCACUGAAGAAAUUAAAUUGGGACAUUCAUGCUGCAGCAGAGCAAAGAAAGCUUCAACUUUGUGAGCUUAAUGAAUUACGACUAUUUUCAUAUGAAAAUGCUAGAAUCUAUAAAGAAAGGACAAACCACUGGCACGACAAGCAUAUUCAACACAGACAGUUCAGCCCUGGUCAACUAGUGCUGCUCCACAAUACAAGACUAAGAUUAUUUUCAGGAAAGCUAAAAUCACGAUGGUUUGGAAUUUUUAGGCUGUUAAAAUGUUAUCCUCAUGGAGCUGUUGAUCUUUUAGAUGAAAAACAGGUCACAAAUUUAAAGUUAAUGGACACAGGGUUAAGCAUUACAUACACCCAGCAACAGAUUGUUCAAAGGAGGUUUUACUCCUUAAAGAACCCAGCUAUUGAGCAGUGAAAGAAGGUCAGGCUGAAGGACCUUAAAUCAAGCGCUCCAUGAGAGGCAACCCAUUGUGGAGAUAGCCACUUCAAACCAAGUUUGAUCAUCUUUGGUUUUGUUAAUGGUUCUCCCUCUCUUCCAUUUUAUUUAAUCUUGUUCUUUAAUUUAAGUUACUUAGUUUUAUCUUUUCACAUUAUUGCAUUUUUUUUAUGUUGCUAUCAUUUGAUCUCUUUAUUUUUAAUUAUAUUUUUAGAAUCGAUUUUAGUUUUUGUGGUAAGUAUGAGUGGCAUUAGAUUUUCAUUUUAACCAGUGGGGUUGUAUGGUGACAGAGUGCAGAGGCAAGCCACGUGUCAAAGAGCAUUGGAGGGACGUAUGUAACCGUUGCUAGAGCAAGCAAGUGUGUGCUGCAACACCCAAUAUUACCAUUACAGUAAAUUAAAAAUUAGAGCCUCUCACUUACCGUUGGAGAUAAAUCAUGACAGAUGGCAGCAUGGAUUUGGAUAGCAAUUGCGAAGAAAUCUCCUAAAUUAAUGCAUUAAUUUCGCUGGCCUAUGUUUUAGGGAUAUACAUAUUAAAUUCAAAAUAUUUUCUUCCCUUAUUUAUCUAUAGUUACCGGAUUUAUCUUCACUUAAAGUUCACUAUAAAAGGGAGUCACUGUGCGUAGUGAUCUACGGCACUAUUCCCCAUCUCCUUCGCAAAUACAACUUUCAUAAUUCUUAACCUCUUCUUCUCAUUUUACCAUCAGAUUGUUACUGCUAUAGCAAUGCCAAGGUAUAAGAAAAUAACCAGCCGCCUCAAAGAUCCUUCACACUUCCAGAGUUACCACGCCAAAGAAAAAUAUGAAGAAUUUAUAGAGCCGCGUAAGAUUCUAGAAGAAAAAAGGGUUUCAAUUUCCAGAGCGACUCAUCGGAAUUGUGCAAACAAUACACAAUGCUGCAGCAAAUGGUGGAUGGUUGGACUUUUGCAACCACCCUCGAAAUCCUGUGCUACCGGUAGUCAAGGAAUUUUACGCCAAUUUGGUAAGCCCUGAUCAGCACAACAUUUGGGUAAGAAACACACUUGUUCCAUUAGACUCCCGCGUUAUAAAUGCUUUUUAUAAUUUACUUGCUGAAAUUAAUUGUGAGUAUACCAAGUUGCUUGAUAAAUUGACCCCAAAGAAAUGGAACACCAUCUUCACAACUCUUACAAUUGAAGGGGCAUCAUGGGCUAACGAGGAAGGGUGUGUAGUUAAUAGGAUAGAUUUGAAACUUAUUGUUAAGGUGUGGGUGAAAUUUUUAAAAUCUAGGCUUAUGCCAACCACUCAUACUACUACGGUUUCACAAGAGAGGUUGGUCUUGUUAUAUGUCAUUGUUCGAGGGCUUCUCAUAGAUGUAGGUAGCAUCAUCGAAAAAGAAAUCAGGGACUAUGCAGUUAAGAAUCACAAAACUAAUGCUCUGCUAUUUCCUUCGCUCAUCACCAGCAUUUAUGUAGUAUCCGGUGUUCGUCUUGACGUGAGAAAUGACCAUAUCAAGAAUGAUGGUGCCUUUACGACACGUACCAUUGAGAGAGUUGCUGGUGAGAGUGCUGGAACAACAACUGAACCAACUACUGUAAUAGGAGCAAGACGAGUUAUUGGUUUAGAACAAACAAUUCAGGCGCUCAGCAAAGCUCAGCAGAGGGAAAAUGAUUGGUUUUGGAGCUAUCUACAGCACCUGAACAACCAACUACACUAAUUUGCUUUGUACAUGAAACGCACUCACCGGAACUUCCCUGAUUCAUUGCUCCAGCAAUACAAUUUUGACACCAACACCACAGGUGCUCCAGCAGCAGCCAGUGAAGAAGCCACUGCCACAGAUGAACCAGAAGAAGAAGCUGCAGUCGAACCACAAGCAGAGGUAGAAUCAGAAGAUGCUGAAACAUCUGAUCAACCUGAGGAAGAAGGUGACAAGUUUGCAACUGAUAGCUCACCCACAGAGGCAGAGGACAACUCUGAGAAAGAACGUGAGGAACUUUCCAUUCCAACUCAUUCCAAAACCAGGAAAAGACACAUCAUUCAAGAAGAGGAAGAGGAAAACCCUUAAAAGGAACCUUUCAUUCCAGUCCUUACGGGCAAGGGCAAGGGCAAGGGCAAGGUAAAAAUAGCAACACCUCCAGCCUCUGAAGAUGAAAUAGAGCAAAUCGAUGCAGAGCUGGCUGCUGCAGUAACCAGAGUUACGCCUACACCUGCAGAAGCCAAGCAGCUACUUGAUAUCAUUGCUGCCAUCACAGCUGAAGGUCAGGCAGCUGAUGCCUCAACUCCAAUUCCUCCACAGAUGACUCCUAGCCAACUUGUUCGUACCAGUCCACGAUAAUCCAGUAAAAGAAAAGGCAGUACGUUUAAAGGCACUGCUACAACAGCCUCGCCUCAACCAAAACGGACCAGGUCGGUGUCAACUACACAACCUACCCCAGCCGCAACUCCUCUCGCCAGCCCAGUGACGAAAAAGACAAAGACAUUGCCAGUCACUUCCCCACAAGUUUCACCAAAGGAUAAGCUGCGCAGUGCAUCCAAGAAACGCUAAUAUCAUCCCGUCAUUUGCAGCAGUCCCAACCACAUGGAAGUAUCCCUACCUUGCUAGUUAAUUUAUUGUUAAAAAAAAAACUUUUCUUUCAGUUUUAUUGUUAAAAAAAAACUUUUAUUUCAGUAUGUUUUUCAAAUUUUGUGGUAUUUUCUAAUGUCUUCCAUGUCCUUGUCCACUUGUGUGCCUUUGUUAUGUAUGCUUGUGAGGACAUAGCAACUCUCAAGUUGGGGGGGUUGUGUUUCCAAAUGUUUGUGUUUAUGUGUAUGCUUGUGUUGUGUGUUGUGUGAAGCUCUGUUAUCUAAUAUUUGUGUAUGGAUUUGAAAACCUAAUGAAGAUAUAUUGAGUGUUAUUCAAAAUUUAUGAGAAUGCCAAGUAGAGAUAGUUAUAGAUGGAGGUUGAAAUUAUGUCCUGACACUUAGACUUUGGUUGAAUUGUAUGAGAUUGCUAGAGCAAAGCCAAAAGAAUGGAAAAGAUCUUAAGUUUGGGGGGGAAAAUAAGUUGAUUGACUGUGAUAUCUAUGUAAUAAACUCUGUUUCAAUAGCUCAAGUUGCUGAAUAACCAGAUAUGAGUAUGUACCCCAUAUGUAGAAUUGUGUUCAAAGGUAGCAAGAGUUAUGAGCAAUGCUGUAGCAUUUUUAAAAAAAAAAUCCUAUGUCUAAGGCAUUGAGUAGUCAGGUCUGUUCAUGAGCCCCAUGUUCAGCCUUGAAUAAAAAAUAUCUCUAGAUAAGACUAUAUUACAGAUAUUGCUACAGCAACUCUGAUCUGUGCAUGGUUUGAGUAAUUGGGUGUCAUCAUUACAAUUGAUUGACAUUCACAUGAAAAAUAAAUGUUGCAAUGAGGAAGUUGAAUACUCUCCAGUUUCUCAAUCUUAAAAUCAUCACAGUUCGAGUAUGUGAAAUUUAUGCUGCCCCAUAUAUGAUGAAGUUUUAUCACUGCUGAAAUUCAUGCAGUCUCUUAGUGAUGUUAUAGCAUCUCUGGAAUACAAUCAAAGUAGCACACACACACACAAUGGACAGAAAGAAGCUUAAGCCUAGAACUGAUUUACUAUAGUCACGUUGCAUGAUUGGGAUUGUGAUCUGAAGGUGGAAGAAUCCUUGCAAAUUUGAUAAAAGAACUAAAGUUAUUUUGCAUGAUUGUUUGUGUGAAGUAUUAGUAUGUUGUCAUUACUUGAGGACAAGUAAUGGUUUAAGUUUGGGGGUGUGAUAACUCUAGGAAAUGAGAGUUAUUACAUCAAUUCUAGACUUAAAUCAAGAUUACUUAGAGAACAAAUAAGAUGUUUUUAUUACAUUUUGGUUAUAUUUUGCAUAAACAUUCAUUUUAGUUAAGUUUUAAUAAGUUUUGUUUGAAUCAAAAUAAUUGGUGCUAAAAACAUGUGCAUAAUUGUAGGUUUUUAGAAAGUCUUAAUUCAUGAGAGGAUGGUGAGACAGUGGAUGAGCAAGAGGAGGAAAGAAGAUAGCUGCAGAAGAAGUAAAGAACAAUCGGGAAUAGUGCAGUGUUGUAGCGGAUGUUAGAGCAACCAGUGCUAUAGCAAUCUGGGAGCAAUGCGGGAGAAAAUUUAGGCGCGGGUCAGCUGCAGAAUCGCGAUUUGCAUGUUUCCUAAUUUAACUCAUGCACGCCUAUGGACUUUUGUUUUACCCUAGUUUGCAGUAUAAAAGAGAGGCAUGCACCACAUAAAGAGGCGACAAGAGGAGUUAUCAUAAAAAAUCAUUAAAGAGAAAAAGAGAAGAAGAUCAUAAUUGAAGAGUGCUGUUUCGGCAACAUUGAGGAAUCUAGCAGAAUUAUUCGAAUUUGUCUUUCAUUGUGCUCAACUGAUAUUUAUCUUCUUCCUUUGAUUGUUUUAAUGUAUCCCGUGAACAACAUAUUUAUGUUUGUUUUUCUUAUUCAAAAUAUGAACUAGAUUUGCUUGUAGUUGAGUGACAAACAAUCCAAUGGGUUCUUGAUUGUUCUUAUGUGUUGUUAUGUCAUUGCUGUAGCAUUAUACUCUAGUAGUUAUUAUUAAUAUAACUGUUAUUUCGGUUGACCAUCCAUUUAAUAGUUCCAGUUAAGAUAGAGCAGCAAAAGGGCAUGUCUUAGCGGACAUUAUUAGAGUAUUACUUUAUCUUAAGUUAAGUUUCCUAGAUUAAGUUAUCUUGAAUCCCAUAAGGGCAAUACUUGAAGUUAAGAUUUGUGACACACUAGACAUAGGUGCUCACCUUGUAGAGUAGAGAGAUAAAAAGGGAUCAUAAAGCCAUAUCAUGAGUAGAUUAGCAACUGGCCAUUGCUAGUGUAUUUAAGGGUAUGAGAGUUCCAAUAUGCGAUAGCUGAGGAUGCAGAUUAAUUCCGCCCAGUGUUGCAGCACUUGCCGUGACAAUUGGAGUCCACUUGAUGAAACACAGUCAGCCCAUAAGGAGAGUUUGAUCAUUCAACUACCAUGUUCUCACUUGAAUCUUAGACACAUUUAGUUUAGUUUAUUUCAUCACGGUUUUGUUUAUUUUAUUCUCUCACAAUCAUUAAUUACGAUAGAACACAUUUUACGUUUGUUAACUUCGGAUUUGAAUUAGUUUGCACUAUUGUGAUUGCUACAACAUUUCUGGUAACAUCAAUCCCUGUGGAGACGAUCUUGAAUACUCAGCACUUUAUUACUUGUUGUGUACACUUGCACAUUAACACCAAUAGCAUUUGAUUAUAAAAUCAACCAACAGUUCCCAAGCAGGCACAAGACAAUAAUGAAGUCAUUGAAGUAGAUAUGAUAGAAGCAUCAAUUGAUUAUUCAUUUAUUUCUAACCACUAUGCUAAUUCAUUAACACCAUGCACAACUGACUCUAAUUUAUCUUUUGAUGGUGAGAGUGGUAUUAAAGAAGUUAAUGCUUUACUUGAUUCAACUCUUAUCACAGAUCUAAUUAAGAGGAAAGAAAAUAUUAAGCUUAUAACACCCCAAAAUUUUCCAAGAAUUUUAAAAGAAAUUUGAAAUGUAAUCUCUAAACAAUUAAAAUUUAUUAAUAAUCCCAAAUGAAAAUCAAUAAUGUCCAAAGUCGAAACAUAGUCUCUAAAACAAUAAAUAUAACAAUAACCCUCCAAUAUCAAAUUCAGCUCUAAAAUAAUAACCAAAAUAACAACAAUUUAUCCAUCACGAAAAUGCCCAAAGCUUUCGGCUAAUAAAUCAUUUUCUCUAAAACCAAAAAGGCCACAUCUUUAAAAUCACUUUGCAAAAAUAUUGGAGACGAGAGGUGAGGCGUCAACUCAAUAAGCAAACACAUGCAUAAGGUUACUAAUAACGAUAAAGUACAUAAUAAUUAUUAUUAAGUGCCAUGAAUUUGAAAUCAAUAAUCAUUUUAUAUUCUAAUACAUACGUACAGUAAAAUUUAAAAUCAAUUAUAUCAUAACAUAAUGACCAUUUUCAAUAAAUAAUCAUUUAUUAAUAAAAUCUUUCAUUUGUUCAAUUUUGCUCAUGCCUCAUAGUGUCACCUGUACUCCCGGUGACCCAACCGGUAGUUCAAUCAGGGUAUUUUACCCCGCAAUAAUUGUCAAUGGUGUGCACAAUACAAUUAACUGUUCAGUCAUAUCAGUAGCAGAUACUACAGACAAUGAGCAAAAACCUUAAAGUAAUUUUCAAUCUUUCAAUAUUAACGUUCAAUAAUUGAUCAACAAAAUCUCUUAUAAGACAUUUAAUUGGCAAAGCUUUACAAAUUAUUUUAAGGAAAACAAUUUAUGGAACAGAAGUAUUUUAAAGCCAUUAUUUUAAAAACAAUUUAAGAAAAAUAUUUUAAAUAAACUUUAAACCAAAAUGUAAAUCAUUAUUAUAAACUAUAACAACAAACAAUAAUUCAAAAAUAUAAAUAUGCCAAUCCUUGUGAACAACAUUAUUCUUUUCAUACAUAAAUUCGUACACACACACACAUAUAUAUAUAUAUAAUAUUUUGAUGAUAGGUUUUACAAAUCCAAUCCGAAGCUUUUUGUGAAAGCUUUGAUUGAGAAACAAUAAUUUGAGAAGAAGAGCUUUCACAAGAAAUGAUACCAGUACUUUAUUAGAGCCAUGGGGAGGAUAGUGUAAUAUAGGAUAUAAUUUCUAUCCUAUAUUAAAUGACCUUGGACAUUUGUUUAAACCAGUACUUCUAAGAUCGUGGAGUGUGUGUGUGUAUUCAAAAGAUUAAAUAUUUUAAAGACAAAAUAAUAAUCAAUAUUAAAUUGGUACGUGGCGUUGUUUUACCAGAUCAAUGCAGAACUUAAUCUGCCUUAGGGACCAGAUCUGACUUAGAACAGAUCAAUAUCCCGCAUGUUCAGGUUUCCAGUCGAUAUACCAAAAAUUUUAAAAAUUCUUUAUGCAAUUAACGCAAAGGCUCAUGGAUAAUACUAGAUCUGGAUCCCAGAAAUAGUAUUCUGAUUGAAUGGAGGGAGAAGAGAAAAUACGACUAAGGGAAGAGAUCAGGUCUCUGUGCCUUAGAAGAACGUAACAGUUUAAAUAUGCAUAAACUUAAAUUGCAAAAUUAAACAUACAUUUAAAGCUUGAAAUGAAUUAUAAAUUCUUUAAAGAAAUAUUAAAUACUUACAUGAUUUUCUUGAAUCCAAAAUAAGUUACAACUUUUUUAGAAAGGAAAAUUACAAGACAGGAAAUGUUUCCUCUAAGUCUUGAUCCAGAUUUCCCGAAGAGAGAGAGAGAGCUUUCAAAGCCUGCCUCGAUCUACUUUCUGUCCUUCUUUUAAGGGUGCAAGAAGGAAGGCUUUUUGCUGUAGCUUCACAUGCGUUGGAGGAUAAAGGAGUCAGCAAUAGUAAAAGCAGGAUGUGCUUUUGAAAUGUGGGAGCCAGCAUUAUUGAAGGCAUCUUUUGCUUUUGAAGACUUUAGGAAAGCUUCACGUGGAGAGAUGCUCUACGAGGCAAUAGUGUAUACCUUUUGAAAACAUGGCACAUGUGCGGCCACACUUGUGUCUCGAAAGACGUUUUCAAAAGAUAUUCUUACCAAAAUCUUUAUAGGAUGCUUUUGACUUCUUUCUGGACGCAGCAAUGAAGGCUUUAAAAGAUUGGAAAAAUACAAAAAGUACAAGCGAUAAUAAAAAUUACAGAAAUGGGAAAUAUAAGGGAUAAUUACAGAAAUAGAAUUACAGAGAAAAUACAGGAAUGGGAAAUUACCUUUUUUUUUUUUCAAUCAACAAGUUUUAAGUAUGCUUUAAUGGAGAAAGUAUUCCGAAGCAAUCAUCUUCAUUUUCAUCUCCAAGGGAGAUGAAAGGCUUAGCAUCAUCAGAAGAACUUGAACUAGCAAUGGAUGAUUCUGAUCUUGAUGCAAGGAGCUACUGCAUAACUUGAAAGUAUUCUUCCUCCGUUUUUGUACUGGCCAAAAGUGAUUGGGCCUUUGUCCUUUGAGCGAGGAAAGUGCUUUGGGCUUUAACAUCUUGAAUGCUCGGGGUGAGAAGGCCUUUUGAGGAAAGCCAAGCCUGGAUUGUGGCUUCCGAUAGUUUGGAUUGUUCAUCAAACUUAGACCACCAUUUUACUUUAAAGGUCCUUUGUAGAAUGAGUUGGGUAUCUUGAGUGUGGUAAAUGAAGUUCCACAUCCAGACCCAAGGAAGAAAGAAAUUUGUACAGAAACAGAGAAAAUGAGGAAAUCCCUUCUCUGACUCAGAAGGGACAUAAUGAGCUUUAAAAAGAUUUAAACAAUUUAUGGCAUUUGGGGUUAGAAUGUCUGGGCUUGGCCCAAAGUAGUUCCACCAUUAUUGGAACCAAUUUGGAAGGCUUUGUACGGUUAUUUUCGAGUUGAAGAAAAAUAACCAAGAAUAGGUCUUUUUGGGGUUUUGAAUGAAAAAUGUGUUAAACCAGGCCUAUUGGUAAUCCCAGUAAGAAAAUGAUAAACAGUGGUUUAGACGCAUUUGAAAAUUGGCGGGAAAGGUUUUGGGUUUGUGAAGUUGGUCACCCCACUGUUUUGGGCUCAAGACUUUUAAAAUGGUAGCUGUGGAAUGCUUUUAACAGACUCAGUGAACUCAAGAAUGCUUUGAUAGAAAGCCUGAGGUUUUGAUAAAUCCCAUAGUUUGAAAAACCAGCCUUUCGGGAAAAUCUUUGAAACUGCUUGAAACGGAUCAGAGUGAUAAAACCCAUCUUCCAUUGAUAAAAUAUUUUGAUGAUAGGUUUUACAAAUCCAAUCCGAAGCUUUUUGUGAAAGCUUUGAUUGAGAAACAAUAAUUUGAGAAGAAGAGCUUUCACAAGAAAUGACUUCUUUAGAAUAAGAAUGUUUUGAAAUUGCUUUAGAAAUAGUUUUUUCUUUCUCAGGAACUUGAGAAAGAGCUUUAUUUUGGGAAAUAUUUUGUAAAGCUAACAUAAGCUCAGGAGACUUUGUAAUGGAGUUCAUCCAUUAUUUUACCUGCUUAUCGGAGGCAAUGGCUUUAGACUGUGCUUCUUGUUCUUCGACCAUGUCAAUCCAAGAUUUAAUAGGCAUGGCAGAAGAAAGUAAUUUUUCUUUAGGAGGGGUUAUCUGAGUUUCUUUAGAGGUUGUUUGAGGUUCAUGGUCUUUAAGGAUACCCUUGCCCUUGUCUCUUCGUUUGGGCGGCAUUAUCUGUUUUGAAGAAAUUCCCUGGUUAGAAAAUCAGGGAUAGAAUUUGUAUCUCCUUUAAUGAAUUCAAUGUCAAAAUCAAAAACACUUAAAAUGGCUUGCCAUCGUGCAAAAAUCUGUUUUGAUGCAAUAUUUUGAACAUCAUUUUCUAAAACGUGUUUUGCAGCUUUGCAGUCAAUUCUAAGUAAGAAUUUUUUAUUUAACAAAUCACUUUGAAAUUUAGAAAUGCAUAAAACAAUAGAAAGAAUUUCCUUUUUAAUAGUAGAGUAGUUUCUUUGACAUUCAUUCCAAUGAGCAGAAACAUAUUGUACUAUUUGUUCUUUAUUAAUUUCUUUUUGCUUUAAUAUUCCUCCAUAUCCUAAAUCAGAUGCAUCAGUUUCAACAAUCUUAGGUAAUGUAGGAUUAGCAAGAAAUAAGCAUGGAAUAUCUUUAACAUAACUUUUUAUGAGCUUAACAACUUUAGUGUGUUCAUUAGUCCACGCAACAGGAUUUUUCUUUAAUCUAUCAUGCAAAGGUUUUGAAAUUCUAUUAAUAUUAGGACAAAAAUCAAGAACAUAAUUUAAACUUCCUAAAAAUCUUUGCAAUUGGGUUUUAUCAAGGAUUUUAUCAGGAAAUUUGUCAGCAAAAAUAAGAGAUCGCUCAAUAGGUGUAAUGGUUCCUUUGGAAAUGUAAUGACCAAUGAACCUUAUUCUUGUUUGAAACAAGGAAACUUUAGAACUAGAAAUGGCUAAACCAGUCUUUCUAGUGGCAAGGAAAAACGUCUUUAGAUGUUUGAAAUGUUGGUCGAUCGUUUGAGAAAAAACCAACACAUCAUCGACAUAAACAAUGCAAAAUUCAGACAAAGGAGUAUAAAUAUCAUUCAUAAUCUUUUGAAAUUUGGAAUGUGCAUUCUUUAAUCCAAAAGGCAUAACAGUCCAUUCAUACUGUCCAAAAGGAACAGUAAAUGCAGUUUUAUAACGGUCUUUUGGAUGGAUUUGAAUUUGCCAAAAUUCAGAUUUCAUAUCAAAUUUUGAAAAAAUGAAUGCAGCAUGUAGUUUCUGGAGCAAAUCCUUUUUAUUAGGUAUGGGAUACCUAAUCCAUUUUAAUGUUUUAUUAAGGGGUAAUUUAUGACUAGUCUGGGUGUCCCUCUUUCUAUCUCAGAAUUCUUAUUGACAUAGAAAGCAGCACAAGACCAAGGAGACCAAGACUUGACUAUGAGACAUUUAGAUUCUAAAUCUUUUAUCUCAUCUUUGCAAUGUUGCUCUAAUUCUAUGUUCAUUUGGAUUGGACGGGCUUUGGUAAGUAUUUACUUUUCAUCAAAAGAAUUUUCAUAAGGUAAAUCAACCAAAUGUUGUUUUAUGUUCCAAAAAGCAUAUGGUAGAUCAGCACAUAUUUCUUUUUCAAUGAGGUCUUUAAGAUCAGAGAUUUUUCUUUUUACAAAUUCAUUUUGUAAUUAGUUUUCGAUUCUUUGUAAACUCAAAUCCUUUUUUAAAUAAAUCAGAUCAUUUUGUUUUGUUUUGAGGAGUGUAUUGAUUUGGUUCUGGUAAACAGAACAAGCUUUAACAAUAUUCAAAUUUCUUGUUUUAGGUUUCUCAAUAAAAGGAAAAACAAGUCUUUUGGUCUUUACUUUAAAGCAUAUACUAUCAUAGUUGACAGUAUAAGGAGUAAUGAGAUUGAUAAAGAGGGUUCCUAAAAUGACAAUAUGGUGUAUGUCAUUUGUAAGAAUAAAAGAAGUCCUGAAUUCAAAACCAUUGUUAUGAAUAGAGGCGUCAACUUUAGAAUUGACAUUAAGUUUUGAAUUAUUAGCGGCAGAAAGUCUCUCAUUUUUUUUUUCAUGAAACCUUCUGGGGACAAUAUCUUCUUUAAUGCAAUUUAAAUCAGCACCAGUAUCAAAGAGGGCAAUGAUGUCAAUUUCAAAAUCUUUAGAAAAGAUCAAGGUGAUUUUGAUCAAAUAUUUUCUUGUGGUGAUUUGUUUUAAUACGAAAAGAAAAUCAUUGGGUAUAAAUUCAAUGUUUUCUAAACUUUGUUCUCCAUUAUCACCAUUAUCUUCUUAUUCUUUAUCAGAAUUAUCUUGUAAUUGUCUUUGUAAGAGGAGUUGGAUAGUAUCAGAAUCAUUUUUUUUUGUUUUUCUUUUAAGUCUUUUAUCUCGAGUUUGAUAUUUUUUAUUUCUUUCUGAAGAUCUCGGAUAUUAGGAGUCGUUUUUUUCUUUGUUUUCUUUUUAUCCAAAAUUUCAGUAAGAUCAUAUGUAUUCUUUUUAAUUAUUGGGGCUUUAGAAAUUUCUGUUUUAUUUCCUACUUCUAAGGUUUUUAGAAGUUUAUCAAGGUAUUCUCUUUGAAGAGUAGGGUCAGAAAUGUGUUUGACUAAUUCAAGAAAAGUUUCUUGAUCUUUAGUGAAUACAUUGAUUUUCUUUAGACGAUAUUCUAUGUCAGAAUCACUACUACUAGAUUCUGAAGUAUCAGAAUCCACCAACUCGUCAAUUUGUAGGGGUCAUUGUCUCCUGUCAUGGAAGACUCAGAGUCAGAAGACUCUACAAGUAAAGGGGCAACUUUAGAAAGUAUUUCUUCGUCAAGGCCAAGCUCAUGGAGCUUUUUGUUCAUCCUGCAAAAUUUUGCAGUAUGGCAUUUCUUUCCACAUUUGUAACAUGUGGCUUCUUUGUAGUUAAAAGGGGUUUUAUGUUUGGGUCUAAAAUUCUUCUUCUUAGAGAAGUUGGGCUUCUUAUAAGGCCUUGAAGGUUUCUUAUAAGAAAGUUCUCUAAAAUCUUGAAAGGGUUUUUUAUGGCUUUUUUAUUUGUAAUGUUUCUUAUAAGGUUUUGAAGAACAUUCACCAUUACAAUCUUUAGAGGUGGAAGUUUUAAAGGGAUUAUAAUUGAAUUGCUUACAUAAACUGUCUAAUUCUUGUUUAGAUUUUCUAAGCUCCCAUUUUAGACGUUUCUAAAGUUUCAAGUCUUGACAAAUCUUUAAACAUUCUUUAUUAACAAAACUAACUAAUUCACCGUAUGUGAGUUCGUUAUAAAGAAUACGGUUGUCAUUCAAGGCUUUAGUAGAGUUCCUAACUUUUUCUCCUAAGAGGGUUGGUAAACCUGCAAGGAAUUUUUAUUUCCAAGUGAUAUGGUUUGCAUCAUCUCUUAGGAAGAAUCUAGUAAAGAAAGUGGUUUUAUAGCUUUGGAAUUCACUAAGUUUCCUACAUCUCAGGUUGUGUAGUAACUCAGCAUUUUUGUCUCUAAGGUGUGAAGGAUCACUUAUGAAAUGAAGGGAUACAGUCAGAAUUAGGGUAGCAACAGCAUCCUGAAUAUGGUCAUUUAAUUCGUCACAGAUGGGGGCUCCAUUUUCAUCUGUUUGAAUUGAAUUUAGGAUAUCUGAUUGUUGUUGUUUAGUGAGAAGAUGAUCCCACCAACCUUUAAGUUGACCAGUAAAACCCGCAAUGAGAAUUUCUGCAAUAGCCUUGUCAGAAGUUCCCGACUGAGUUUUAUAUGCAUUAGCUGCCAUAGUCAUAUGUUGCAAUAAUCCUAGAAUGUUGUAUUCAGACAUACCAUCAAUGUUCCACUCAUAGACAGAGGAUGCAUUAAAGCGUGAUUGGUUUAAUGCACUAGGUCCGUUGUCUAUGGCUAAGUCAGGUGGAGAUUUGACAGUAGGUAGGGCUAAUUCCCAAUGAAUUUUGUUGGCUUUAGAAACAGGUUCUUCUUUAAAGGCUUCUAUAUCAGAAGAGGCUAUAGAUAUGUCGUCUUGUUCUAGUACACCAAUUUUACUAGAUUGGGCACUAUCAGGGGCUAUUUGGAUUUUACUAGACGAAGAAGAAGAAGCUUCUAUUUUAUUUAGUUAUUCUCUAAUAGCUUUAGCAAAAUCUGAUUUUGACUCUUGAACAAGCUUUUGACUAGUUUUCGAAACCUGAAAGGGUUUGAAAAUAGGCUCUUUAAGCUUUUUGUCAGAAUCCGAUUUUGAAGUAAUAGGAGAAACAGUUAUGGUAGACUUCUGGAAUUGGUUUUCUAUCCUAGUCAACUGUUUUCCUAAUGUGUUUAGGUUAGCAUUACAAAAAUUAUUCUGUUGAAUAAUGCUGCCUAAAUUUGUCUCUGAAUCAUUUGGUUUAUGGAUUUUGUAGGGUGAGGCUUUAAUCUCAACAGGAGGCACACCAUGUUCAAUGGUCAAACUCCUAAGAGGUGGAUGUUCAGAUUCUAUGGUUCUAUCAUUAUCAAUAAGAUUCCAUUCAGGAAUCUUUUUCCUAAUAAUAAUAGGAUUUGAUUCUUUAAAAGGAAAAUCAAUGUUAUUAUCAGAGGCAUACAUUUUAAACCAGCUAAAGAAUAAAAUAUGAACUUUAUGCAGAUUUAUAAAUUCAUAAUAAAUUUCUUGUAUUUGUUUUCUUUGGCUUAAGAAAUUUUUGAAGAACCAAAGUCUUUUUUCUUUAUUGCAAUCAGAAUAAAAGUCAUUAUGUAGAAGAGUUUUAUCUAAUUCAAAAUCUUUUUCAAGAACAUUUAUUACAUUUUCAGUGACAGCGGAAAAUGUAGGAGAGGUUGGAGGAGAAGGUUCCUUCUCUUCCUGUCUUUGUUCAUGUUGACUGCUAGUGUAGAUUGGGUGAGGAACACUAGUGGUAUAGUCAACAGAGUGGAUAGAGGAACUAGGUAUAUCCGAUGUGGAAAACCUAGGUUGGUUUCUUACUGGUUGGAAAGGGAGGUUUAUAACGGAAGGAAUUUUUGAAAAUCUUCUUUCUAAUGAAGGAAUAUUCGUACUUGAGUCUUUAUCAGAGAACCUAGAAGAUGUAGAUCUCCUAAAGGACAGUUUAACCUUCCCAUCUGAAUACUGAGUCAUAUUUUGCAACUCUGUAUUAGGCUCAAGUUGUUUUGGAAUCACUGGUGCAGUGGCUCCUUCAAGAAUCCAUUCGUCUGGAAGAUUGACAUCUUUCCAUUGGAUUGGUUUUGGAAUAACGGUGUUGGCUUUAGAUAUAUCAGUCUGUAAGAGAAGAGUCUCAUCUCUUUUUGACUGAAACUUAUGUUCCAUACUAAACGCAGAAAUCAUGGCUUUGUAUGAGAUUUUAAAAAUUAAGGCUACUGGGACUGAUCCCUCGAUCAUGUAAUAAUUAUGGGUCUUGAUUUGCAAGAUCAUGCUUUUCAUAAUGUUUUUGUCUUUUAGAGAAAUUGUUAUGUUCGGGUAACAGCUAAAUGAGAUGGGACCUUUGCAAAGACUUGAUUCUAUACUACUUAGCAAAGAAUCAUCAAAAGAGAUGAAUCUCCCAUCUCUUAAGACAGCAAGAAUAGAUGUAUUAAGACCUUCUUUUGUUAAGGGCUUUAUACCAACUUGUAUUAAGCCGAUGUGAACAUAAUUAAAAUUUUUAUCUUUUAAUUUCUUUAAGGAGUGUUCUGAAAAUAGGUGAAUAGUUUCAAAUGGCUUUGAAAGGUUAUGUCACGUUCUUCAGUUUUUAUGACAUAAUCAUUCUUUAGAAAAUCAAGCUUUUUUGUUUUGUAAAUCAUUUCUUUAGAAAUCUUUGGUAAUUCCCAAUUAUCAAUUGCUUUAUUAAAGUCUUCAAUUACAAAUUCUUCUGAAUUAACAACAUUCUUAGAAUCACUAGUUUUCCCGGAAGAAGAGCUAGAAAAGGAUGAUGCUCUACAGAGUAGAGAAUCCAUGGAUAAAACCUAUAUUCUAGUUUUAGUCCUGUAGGUAUGGCUACAAUCCAAGGCUAAGAAUUGGUUUUACUGCCCUUCAACCAAAUCGGGACUUACGACCAAAUGCUACCAAGGCACCCAGAGGUAAACACUCACCACACAAACAAUGUUCAAUAAGAACACAAGUCUUUAAACACAGAAAUUCUAUCCUAUAUUACACUAUCCUCCCCAUGGCUCUGAUACCAGUACUUCAAAGGAAGAAAGAAAUUUAUGGGGUUUGUAAGGGGUUUGUAAUUUAUGACUAGUCUGGGUGUCCCUCUUUCUAUCUCAGAAUUCUUAUUGACAUAGAAAGCAGCAUAAGACCAAGGAGACUUAGACUUGACUAUGAGACCUUUAGAUUCUAAAUCUUUUAUCUCAUCUUUGCAAUGUUGCUCUAAUUCCAUGUUCAUUUGGAUUGGACGGGCUUUGGUAAGUAUUUGCUUUUCAUAAAAAGAAUUUUCAUAAGGCAAAUCAACUAAAUGUUGUUUUCUGUUCCAAAAAGCAGAUGGUAUAUCCGCACAUAUUUCUUUUUCAAUGAGGUCUUUAAGAUCAGAGAUUUUUCUUUUUACAAAUUCAUUUUGUAAUUGGUUUUCGAUUUUUUGUAAACUCAAAUCAUUUUUUAAACAAAUCAGAUCAUUUUGUUUUGUUUUGAGGAGUGUAUUGAUUUGGUUCUGGUAAACAGAACAAGCUUUAACAAUAUUCAAAUUUCUUGUUUUAGGUUUCUCAAUAAAAGGAAAAACAAGUCUUUUGGUCUUUGCUUUAAAGGAUAUACUAUCAUAGUUGACAGUAUAAGGAGUAAUGAGAUUGAUAAAGGGGUAUAUAUAUAUAUAUAUAUAUAUAUAUAUAUAUAUCCGAAGCAACCAAUAAAAACCCUCAAUACACAAGCUCACUCUUGGCUUAUAAUUUUGAAGAUGAGAUUUUUAUCAAUAUCAUAUUCAAGUAUGACCUUCAUAAGAUAUGCAACAUCCCCUUCAUAAACCAUUAACUCUAACCUAAACAAAUCAAUUCCCCAAACUACCCUCGACCAUCUUAUAGGAGCUGAUUUCUAACCAGCUAUAACUAUUGUCGGAAAAUCACAAUUAUUAAAAGUUACCGUAAACAUGUUGGCAUUCAAUAUAAAUGUUAACAAAAUUAAUUAGAGUUCAUAAACAUUUCCGAAAAACUAAUUUUCCACAAAAACAUUAAAACUGUCUAGUGACAAAAUAAACAAAGGACUAUUGGUUUAAAAAUUCAUAAUUUUAGUGAUAUGUGUUCAAAAAUAGUGAUUCAAGUUUUGAUCAUCAGAGGAGACAAUAUAGAGCUAAUGAAAAAGUAAUUAAAAUUAGCUUCAAUAUCACCAGCUUGAAAUUCUGGAAAGCCGCUUCCAAGAUUGCGGCAACCCAGCUCUAUGAUUUUUAAUGAUUUUCAUAUAAAUCCAAAACUUACGAUAUUAAAUACAAAAAAAAAAAAUAGACGUGGAUAUAUAGUAAUAAAAUUUUCUAGAAAUUUUCGGAAGUCAUUUGGAUUACAAAAUAAAUUAUAGAAUUGAGGAUUGCUGUCGAAAAUUGAAAUUUUUCGGUACUAGUAUUCCAAAUUUGAAAAAUCAAAACAAUUAAUAUGCAAUGAAUUUUUGGACAAUAAAUAUAUGGAUACAAAAAUAAAGAUGUCUAGUUUAAUAGGAUAUGAAGUUUUAUGCAUGAGAUUUAACGACAACAUCAACUAUAUAACAUUGAAUCUGCACUGUUUACAGUUUUCAGGAUAAUGUAAACAAAACCAUUCAAAUAAUGACAUAGAAUCACACAUACAAUAGAAAUUCAAAAGAUUAUAAAUACUUACCUCUCUAAGAAGAAUUUCACUCCAGACUACACCUUUGAGACUUAAAGCUUUUGUUCAAACACUUCUUGAAAAUUGUUUUAAUGCAAAUGAGAUACAACAUCAAGACACACACGCAAGCCACACACAAAGAAAAUAAAAAUACAAUCAAACUCAAUCAUUUAGCAUAAUUACUCUAGCCCAGUGUCUCCACUUUCCAAACAUUAAUCAUUCAACAUAAUCAUUACUCCACUCCACCAAUUUCUCCACUUACCAAACAUUAAUCAUUCAAUUUAAUUACUAACAUAAAAUAAUGUAUUCUAUUUAAAAAAAAUAAAAAUCCAAAAGACACUUUAAUCAUUCACUUGUAUAUAAUAAGUAUAAAAUACUACAUUAUGAAAUACAUACAUGAAAGAAAUAGAAGAAAUUUUAGGGUUUACAAAGCCACAUCCUCCUGAAGAGAAAAUUAAACCAUUCAAGUUGGAGCCACUUCCUAAAGAAUCACAUUCUGACAUGAAAAAGGUGGUAAGAUCUAAAGUGCUUAAAUUGUUAGAUUUUUAUAUUACUUCAGAUAACUCUUAGGUAAGCUUGAAACAGAAGAGAUCAAAGCAGUGUGAUAUUGAGGAGUUUCAUUACCAUCAUCCUUUUAUAGAUAAAAAGCUCCAGUGCUUAGUCAAUUAUGUUUUCUGGUAUUUUCUGUAUAAUUGCUUUGAUUUUCACCAAAUUCUUAUUGAUUCUAGUUGAUUUGUUAUUUACAUUAAUUAUUUAGUUUAGUACGAUUUUAUUUAUUUUAUUUUUUUAUUAUUUAUAUUUAUUCGAACGUUUUUUUUUUUAGUUGUCAUUUUCUUUUAAGCUUCCCCAACCCAUUCAGGUGUGUUCUCUCCAACUUUUUCUUUUAUUAUUUAUGUUUUUAUUUUAUUUUUUCAUCUUUUUGCAUACAUAUCUUUUAUUUAUGAAACAUUGAGGACAAUGUUCCGAAUAAGUUUGGGGAUGGGAAUGGUGUGUGCUUUGUUUGUUAUUUAAAAAAAUCAAAAAAAAAAUCAAAUUUUUUUUUUUUUUUUGUGAAAAGUCAAUGAUAAGAACUUGAUUGACAAGGAAUAUGGUUCUUAGAAAGGGUUGAAUAUUGUCUUAGUUUAUACUUGGUUCUUGUGUUAAUUGCUAUUGAUUGAGAUUCUUUAAACAGCAUGAGUACUAAUAUCAAUUCUUUCAUAAUUUUGACUUGAAAUCUGAGAUUGACGCAGCCUGAAUUGAGAAUUUUAGAUAGAGUAAAUGAUUGUUUUCUUGAUUCUUAUCUCCACAAUACAAAAUAGUAUACACAGGCACCAAAUUCAAAAAUAAUUAUCUAUAACCCUUAAGAGUGAAACUAUCUUUAAGUAAUUUGGGCUUACAUACCACCAGUAUAUAGAGGAUAAUCUACCGUAAGAAGAAGGCUACCUUAAGGGGUAGAGUGAACGUUUCUGACUUUGGUUUAAAAAAACAAAAGAGAAAAAAAUCAAGUCCAUGUGCUAAAAAAAAACAAAAUAAAAUGCGUAUAAAAGCCUAUAAAAAAAGAAAAAAAUUGGAGAUCAAGAUGAUAAGAUUAGUUUGACCUACUUUUUUCUGUAUUAGAGGCGAAGGCUAUUGAUAUUGAAGAUUUUGGGAAUUGAUUUGAUUGAAUUGAUUUCACACACACACACACACACUACAAGAAUCGAAAGAGAACUGUUGAAUUAAAGUUAGAAAUUUGCCAAUAUUUGAAAAUUUCUUUGAGCUAUAUAACUUAUGCAACCAUUAAGGCUAUUUUUAUGUUUUAUUUAAAGUUAUUUUAUUUUAUGUUUUUUUAUUUUAAAUGAUGCUUGUGGAUCGUUGGUAUGAAUUCAAAUGCUAUUAGUGUCAAUGUGCAAGUGUACACAACAAGUAAUAAAGUGAUGAGUAUUCAAAAUCGUCUCCACAGGGAUUGAUGUUAUCAGACUUACUACAGUAAUUUUAACAGUGCAGAUUUUGUUCUAAAUUAAAAUAAAACAAUUAAUGAAACUAAUAUACUAAUUAAAAUAAAAACGCAAUAAAUAAAAUGCAACAAAGUAAAUUAUCAGUCAAACUCAAGGAUAAAACCAAUGGGAAUAUAGAGUGGUUGAGUGAAUAAACUCUCCUAAUGGCCUUGAGUAUUUUCUACUGGUUGGCUCGGUUACUGCAGUAUCUGCUACAGCACUGGGCAGAAUCCUUAUGCAUCUUCAGCCGUCCCAUGUUGGAUAUCUUAUAUCUAUAUGCAACCUAACGGUGAUCAAUUGUUAUGCAAACAUAAGAUAUAGCAUUACACGCUUAGGUUCUAUUUACCCUACAAGGUGAAUUCAUAUGUCUAAUUCAUCACUAAUCUUAAAUCAAGUAUGGCCCUUUUGGGACUCAAGUAAAACUCAAUCCAGAAAACCCAAUUUAAGAUCAAGUAUUGUUUUGAUAUGUUCCACUAAGAUAGACUCUUUUGUGGCUCUUCCUUAGCUAGUAUCAUUAAAUGGGUGAUCAGUUGAAAUAAUGAAUAAAAAUAAAUUCUAUCAAAACAAAAUGCUACAGCAAAUAUGCAGCAACACAUAUUUUCAGUCAAUAAACCAUCAAGAUUGUUUAUCACUCAACUACAAAUAAAUUUAGUUCAUAAUUUGUAAAAGAAAAAUAAAGAGCAAAGUUUCAGCCAUAAAACACAUCCCCGUGAAUAAAUAGAAAACAAUAGAAGAAUAAGAAUGGCUGAGCUCCCAAUUGAUCUCUAUAAUUUCUCCUCUUGUGGAGCCCUUAAUCUCUCUCUUGAAUCUUGUUUUUCUUUUGUUUCUUUGUAGUUUUUCUCCUUGGGUUACGGCCCUCUUUAUUCCUUAUGAUGUGUGCUUCUUUUAUAGCUGAAAAUUAGAGUAAACGGAAGCCUAGGGCGCGCAUAAGUCAGAUUAGGAAACUGCAGAUCGCAAUUCUGCAAGUAUUCCGUGUGAAAUUUUCUCUAUCGUUGUUCCAAGAUUGCUACAGCAACGGCUACAAAAAAUGCAUUGUUCUAGAUUUGUUUCAAUUCUUUUGUAGUUAAGUUCUUUUCCAUCUUUUGCAAGCUUAUUACAUCAGCAUUCCUUCCUUGAAAUUUGGACUUCCGAACACCUACAUUUAUGCAUAUGAUUUAGCACACAAAUUAUUCUAAAUCAAACACAAUUUAUUACGAAUAAACUAAGAUGAAUGUUUAUGUAAAAUAUAAUAAAAAUGCAAUGAAAACACAUUAUUUACUCUCUAAGUAUUAUUGAUUUAAGUCUAAAAGUGUUAUGAUAACUCUUAUUUUAUAGAGUUAUCACACCCCCAAACUUAAACCAUUACUUGUCCUUAAGUAAUGACAACAACACUUCACAAUCAUGCAACAAUUAACUUAGCUCUAAUGUCAAAAUUGCAAGGAUUCGUCAACCCUCAGAUCACACUCUUAAUCACGCAAAAUAACCAUAGCAGUUCAAUUCUAGACUUAGGCUUCAUUCUGUCCAAAAUGUAUGUGUGCCACUUUGAUCAAAUUCCAGAGGUGCUACAACACUACAGAGACAUUGCAUAUAAUUUAGAGGUAGAACACAGAUGUAUUCACAUAUGGGGAAGCGGAAUUCACAAAUAAACUCAAAUUGUGCUACAACAAACACAAUUAUUUUUUUGGGAGCAAUUAGACAUAUUUGCAUGUGAAGUCAAGCCAAGGAAACUGAAUUCAACAGAUUAAUUCAUCCAUGCACAUGAAGACAAAGAAGAUUACGACCAUCACGUGAGAAGCAAUCACCAUUAUUGUUAGCAUGUGCAUGGCAUUAAAAAAGGAAUCCUACUGCAAUUCUAAGUGGUGAGCACGUGUGAGAGCAAAACAAAUUAAAAGGCCAAGCCUUUUGGCUUUAGAAUUGGAAUGGUCGGUGGCCCAUUUUGGAGAUUAUAAAAAGAAAGGUGAACUUUGGCUUUUAAUAGGGCAGCUGUGAAAGGAGAAAAAAGAGAGAAAUGUUACGCAUUCGGCAGAGAAGAAAAUAGUGGCGGCAGCUCUUUAAUUUUUCCAUGACUGGUUUUAUUUUAUUUGUUGCUCCCAAUUCAAGUAUGUCUAUCUAAUUUUCUUUUACUAAGGUUAAGGAUAAAACCCUAUCCAAUGAAAUAAUUAUAUUUUUAUUUAAUUAAUACCCUACAUGCGUGUUUUAUUGUUUAUGGUUCUUGUUUCAUAUGAUUAGUUAAAUGUUAUUAAAUCUUUUCAUCAAUUCUAUCAAGCAUUAUUGAUUGUUAGGAUUAAUAUUCGAUUAAUUUAUGUUUUGGUGUAUAAAGUUUUUAUAUGAUUAUCUUUAAUUUUAUAUCUUUCAUUAAAUUAUUUACACAGAGUGCUUAGGAAAAUUUUGACUCUUUGUUAUUCAAUAUGUUUACAUGAGAUGUUUAGAUAUCAUACUAUUAAGCAGAAAAAGAACAGACAUUAGAUUUAAUUACUUGGGUUUAAUUGUUAUAUCCAUGAGAUGACAUAGAUUGAUUUCGAGUUGUCACUUUAAAAUUAGGGAUUAAUUAACAAUUUGAUAAUUAUUAGUUGAAUAGUGGUGGAUUCUGAAACCUUAGUAAUUUUUGUCUUAUUGAAUUCUCCUUUAUUUUAAUUGUUUUCUUAGUUUAAUUAGUUUAAUUUAUCUUAAAACUCAAUUUGCUCAACUAGGUUAGAAUUAAUAUUAAUUUUAUAUUUAAAUUAGACAUUUCAAUUUAUAACAAUUCAUGUGGGUUCGAUCUCGUUACUACUGUUUUAUUUUUAGAUUUGUGUGCUUAUGAGUAUAUUAAAAUUUUUCAUAGCAUCAUGCAAGCAAACUUUUCACUUGCAUAUCAAAUUGCGAUGGUGGUGAGGAAAAUUUUUUUUUUUUACAUUUUAAGGAUAAUUUUAAAAAUAAAAUGAUUAAUUGAAUAACGGAAACUAAUGAGAUAAAUUGAAAGAUCAAAUAUCAUUUCAACAAAGGUAUUAUUAUUAUUGUCAUCAUUAUUUAUUUUUUAAAUCCAUACGGAGCUACAGCUCGAUGCACUGGUUCAAAUGUGCUCUACUUUAUUAUAUUCUUAGAACUUGAGUUAAACUUGAAAUUGUCACUCUCUUAGUAAAAUUUAAGAGAGUGGGUUCGAAUCUCAAGGAAUUCUAUAUUUCAUAUUUGUCACGAGUAAUAAAAAAAAAUCUCGAAAUUAUAAAUGGAGAAUAUGAGAAAUUUGAAAUUAGCUGCAAAAUGAUGUCAUCCAUCUAGGGAUGGCAAAACCCCGGGCUGGGUCCGGAUAUUGCAAUGACCGGACCCUGCCCGAAUGCAACCGGUCUGGGUUCAGGUCCGGGUUUUAAUCCAGGUACUUAAAUUUUAUAUUUUUUAAUAUCAUAUGUGUAUAUAUUUUAUAUUUUUUGGUAAUUUUAUAAGUUUUAAAUUUAUUUCAAUAAAAUUUGACAUGAAAAUAUAAAUUUUAAGUGUUUAAAAUUUUAUAUAUGUAUAAUAAAUGAGUCAAAUAAAUAUAAAUAUUUAAAAUAAUAAAUAUUUUAUAAUUUUUUUAAAAAAAUUUAGAUUCCAAAUUUAUCAAGUGAUGCCCAAAAUCAACCCGACUUCAUAUCCAAACUAAAAAAUACCCAACCUACAAUACUUAAAUACGAUCUAAGUCUGAACCAAACGGAUAUUUUUACCACCUCUACAUCCAUCCAAGAUAAGACGGUGAUCAUUAAGAUAACGAAUAGGUUCCUUUCAAGAUUACAGCUGGACAUGGGCUGAGAGAAAAUUUUUUUUUUUUUUUCUCUUUUUGAGCUUUGGAGAAUAACAGGAGGUGAUAAUUAAUUAAACAAACAAACACCACUCGACAAAAUUAUAAACGACAAGAAGAAUUAUUUCAUUCAAGUUUAUGUGGUGACGAUUCAAGAUAACAUCGGGGCACGAGGGGGACGGUCAACAGACAAAUUACCAUCACAAUAAACGUGUCAAAUAAAUGCAGGUGCGCCCCGAAGAGAGGAAGAAACUCCAAAUUAUUGGAUAAUCAUAGCAAAAUGGUAUUGCUUGCCUAGAUCAGAAGUAAUCUUGUAUCAUUUUUUAGCUUCCCCAAAUUCUGUUUCUGUACACUGUAAGUAUUUUUCAUCCUCAUUUUCUUGUUUCCACUUUCCAUUAUGCGUUAUAUCACCAUUUAUUUUCAUCUCGACAUUUGGUUUCAAUCAGAUCACCGGAGGAAAUAAAGAUGGGAAGAACACAGAUCAUCUCAAAGAGCACCGUCUGUGCAGCAAUUCACAAGGAACCAAACCUUAGAAUUUGAUACCAUUCAGAAAGGACUUCUCUUCCGCAAACCUCCAAAUGAUAACACCGAUACCAGCAGCGUAAACUUGAUCCACCACCUCAAGACCUCCCUUGCACGAACGCUAGACUACUUUCCCGCACUUGCCAGUCGCCUAGCCACCAUUGAGCAUCAUGAUGACAGCAACACAAUUUCUGUUUACAUAAAUUGCAACAAUGCCGGCGCAGAGUUUGUGCACGCCACGGCCGAUGGAGUCUCUGUUGCAGAUAUCAUUUCACCUGUUUAUGUUCCUAAUGAAAUUGUUUACUCUUUUUUCCCACUAAAUGGAGUAACAAACUGUCAGUGUAUCUCCGAGGCCAAGCCGUUGCUUGGGGUUCAAGUGACAGAGCUUGUGGAUGGAAUCUUCAUCGCUUGCACUAUCAAUCACUCCGUUGUUGACGGCACUUCCUUUUGGCAUUUCUUCAAUUCGUGGUCUGAAAUCUCACGGGGUUCUGAUUGUAUUUCAAAACUUCCAGUUCUCGAACGUGGGGUUCUCUCUGAAUCAGAAUAUUUCCCCAUUCGCCUCCCUCUCUGGAGCAUUGAACCUUCCGGAAUUCACACUCCACCGCCUAAUUUGCGACAAAGGGUUUUCCACUUUACGAGGGAAAACAUUGCAAAACUCAAAGCAAAAGCCAAUGCUGAGAUUGGUAGUACCAACAAGAUCUCCUCUCUCCAAGCAAUCCUUUCCCAGAUCUGGCGAUCAUUUACUCGUAAUCGAUCUCUUGAUCCUGAUGAAGAAGUUCUUUUCGUGUUAGGAAUCGGAGUCAGACAAAGAUUGCAACCGCCACUGCCACCAGAGAAUUUUGGAAAUGCAGCUCAGGGAGAGUUCGUGUCCAUGAAAGCGAGAUAUCAACUUGAGCAAGGGCUUGGAAAUGUGGCAUUGAAAAUGAACAAGUUCAUCGCUGCGUAUACUGACGAAACGAUAAAGAACUUCUUGGAGUCUUGGGGUAAAAACCCUGAGAUCCUAACAUGGGAUAGCCUGCCGAUGAAGAAUAAUGCUUGCUUCGCAAGUAGCUCGCCGAGGUUCAAUUUCUACGGUAACGAUUUCGGGUGGGGAAGACCAAUGGCAGUGAGGAGUGGUCCAGCGAACAAGGCUGAUGGGAAGAUCACCCUGUUUGCCGGAGUGGAAGAAGGGAGUGUCGACGUUGAAGCUUGCUUUUUGCCUGAGACACUGCAAGGUAUGGGAAAUGAUACAGAAUUCAUGCAAUUUGUAUCUUAACUGUUAAAAAUCUUCCAUGCUCUUAACCAUUAUAUCAAUGAAAGCUUACUUUUAAAUACAUUUUUUAUGAAUUAAUGUAGAUCAAAUUUAGUAUGACAUGUUUAUGUUGCUGAUCAAAUGAUGUAUUUUCAUUGAUCAUGUGAGAAGUAAAAGAGAUUCAACCCGCAAGCUGCUUCUACCAAACAUUGACUUUCCGAUUAUAGUCGUGCCUUGGCAAAAGCCCAAUUAGGAUUUCAAUUAAAAUAUAUCUAAUUUUGAUAUUUUUGAAAAAUAAAGCCACGGUGAAAUAAUUGACAUAUUACAUCAACAGUUAAGUGAAUUUUUUUUUUUCUUUUUGGGUAUCAUACGAAUGUAGAUAUAAAAGUUUUAUAACGUCUUUAGCAACUUGCAACUUGCAACUUGCAGAUAUGGACUUUGUAAAUUAUUUUGACUGCUUAACAUAUUUCUUUUAAUGUAAUCAAUAAAAGUUUUAAAAGCAACAGAUUAAUGAUAAAUAAAUUUGUUUCAUAUUAAAAAUAAAUCUCGAUGACUUGAUAAUCCUGUGAAGAAGUUCCUUUCGUACUAUCGAUAGGAGUUAGAAUAAGAUUGCAACCAUCACUGCCGCCUGAUGAAUAUUUCAGAAAUGCAAUUCUAUAAAGCGGGAGAUCAAAUUGAAUAUGUGGCACUGCAAAUGAGAAAGAUCAUCGCUAUGCAAAUAGAUGAAAAUAUAAGGGACUCCUAGGAGUCCUGGAGAGAAAACCCUGUGGUCUUAACAUGGGAAAACCAGAAGACGAAAUCUUAUUGCUUUCCAAGUAGUUCGUCGAGGUUCUAUGAGAAGUGGUCCAGGGAAUAAAGCUUAUGGGAAGAUCACUUUGUUUACAGGAGUGGAAGAAGACAAUGUCGACAUUGAAGCUUGCUUUUUGCCUGAGACAAAGCAGGGCAUGGGACAUGAUAGAGCGUUCAUGCCAUCUACGUGUUAACGUCUUUAGUGAUCCUGAAACAUUACUUUCUAAUCAUUCAUUUACUCGUUAUCACGGGUAAAUGAAUGGUAUCAUAAUUAGUUAAAAAUACACAAACGACAAAAAGUGAAUUCAUUACUAUAACUAUGCUUUAUUUAGGCACCUCAUGCAAUAAAUUAUUUAAUCUCAAAACUCAAUUUAAUAAUUAAUCCCAUGCACAUCUAUCCGUUAGAGCAUAACAACAAAAUUUCGGUACUGGCAUCCGCGGCAGAGCAUAAUAGCCAUAGAGAAAUGGAAAUUGAAAGGAAGGAGCUGGUAGCUUAUAACUGUGAUUCAAGUUUUUGCUUUAGAAAAUUUUCGGCCUGGUCUAGUAAACCGGUCAAUACCUCACGAGCUCAUUAAACUAUCAAAUUUAGGGCCCAGUUUGAUGGGUCUAGUUGGUUGCUGUGUUGGGUCUGGUUAGUCUCAACAAAUACUGGUCGUAGCGUCGUAGGCAGUUCGCAUUAGAGAUUUAUAACGAUUGUAGUGUGUGAACGAGUAAUAGAAAGCUCUAUUUAUUGGCACAAGGAGUAACCCUUGUGCGGUUGUGCAGAUAAAAAGAGAAAAGUGCAGUGGGUUAUAUGAAAUUAAAAGUAACAGGUUGUUGUAAACACGAUUAGAAAACUCCUGAUUCACGCCAUAAAAGCCUUUAACUCAACACCAAAGUAUUCAGGGAACUACACUCAUGGUUUGAAUAGAAAUGCACAACCAUGGUUCUAAUACCAAUGGAUAAAAUAAAUUUAAGUUUUACGGCAAUGAAUCCAUUCAACAUAUUUCAUAAGGGAGAAAGGCAGCAUUUUAUCUUGGUUGGCCAUGAAAAAGACUUGCUGCUCAGCUUGUUUCUUGCCCGUUAAUUCAACCUUAUGUUCUUAGCUUCAAUCUCAGCAGCAAAAUCAAGCUCCUCAUUCACUGCACACAAACAAUUAGGAGAAAGGAGAAAAAGAAAGACAGUGUAUAAUGGAGCUGCAUUUUAAAAGAAAUGUUUAGAAAACAGUCGAAAACCUCUACAGAAUUCUUAGUAUUUUUGUCAACACAAUACUUCUUCUUUCAAAGACAUUUAUGCCAUAGAACAAAACCUUAGCCUACAAGAUUUGUACACAGAGAAUGAAAAAAGAACCAAGUAAUUCAUGAAUCAAAGACAUAGAACAAAGAAGGGAUAAGUAACGUAAUUACGCACACGGAAUUGGCACAGAUGAACAAAGAACGAGUUGCAAGCUCUUUAUUAUUGAAAGAAAUGAGCCCCAGAUCAUAUGAUCUCCCCACAAGCUUUACAACGAGCUAUCAUAUGCUUUCUAACUCUCAAAGAUUAACAAGUUACAGGCCUUAGAAACUGCUCUCGUAAAUUCAUUUUACCGCUAAAUUUUCUUGCUAUUCAUGCAAGCAAACUUUUCACUUGCAUAUCAGAUUGCGAUGGUGGUGAGGAAAAAAACAUUUUAAGGAUAAUUUUAAAAAUAAAAUGAUUAACUGAAUAAGGGGAACUAAUGAGAUAAAUUGCAAAUAUCAUUUCAACAAAGGGUCCGUUUACGGCUGCCCUGUAAACUAUCUUUUAGCCCCUUAUACUCCUAAUUAUUUACCAUUUAUUCACACGUAUUAUAAAAUUUUCUGUAUUGUAAAAUUUCAUUUAGUCUCUUACGCUCUGUUUUAUUUCAUUGAAACCCUUAGAGUAUCAAUUUGCCCUCUAUAAUUUUAAAUUCUCAAUAUACCCUCCAUUUAAUUAAAAAUAUAAUUAUUAUUAAAUGGAUUAUAAUUAUAACUUUAUUAUAAUUAUAAAUAUAAUUAUAAUUUUAAAAUGGAUUAUUAUUAUUAUUAACAAGAAUAAAAAUUAUUAUAAUUAAUUAAUCUAUUAACAAUAAUUAAUAAUGAUACAAAAUAAUAAUUAUAAUAAAAAUUAAUUAAGGAUUUUAUUUGUAAUUUGUUACAAUUUAACUCAUUCUGAUUUUGAUUUUAAGACAAAGUAAACACAUAAAUGAUAAUACAACUCAUUCUAAUUACAAUUCCUAUAGUUCAAGUAGAUAACUAUUCUAGUUCUAAUUUCUCAUUUCGAUUCUAACUUAUUAUGUUCCUAAAUAAUGUUGAUUCCUAUUUAGUGAAUGCACUAUAAAAUUGUAAAUCACUUUAUAUUCAAUUAGACCACUCUAUAUUAUUUACAAGUUAUUCAUGACUAUUAUGAAUUUUAUAUUGUAUUCACUAAACAUGAAUCAAAAUUAGCUAGAAAAUAAUGAUUUAGAAUCGGAAUAGCUGGAAUCAAAAUGAAGAAAUUGAAUCAAAAUAAUUUAUUUACUUGAACUGUAGGAAUCGUAAUUAGAAUGAGUUGUAUUACUAUUUAUGUGUUUACUUUGUCUUAGAAUCAAAAUUGGAAUCAGUUAAAUUGUAACAAAUUACUACAAAAUCCUUAAUUAAUUUUGAUCAAAAUCAUUAUUUUGUAUUUUGAUUAUUGUUAUUGUUAUUAUUAUUCAAAAAUUAAUUAUUAAUAAUAAUUAUUGUUAAUUAUUAUUAACAAUUUCACUAAAAAAUUAUUAUUAAUUAUUGUUAAUAGAUUAAUUAAUUAUAAUACUUUUUAUUCUUGUUGUUGUUAAUAAUAAUAAUAAUAAUCAUCAUCAUCCAUUUUAAAAUUAUAAUUAUAUUUAUAAUUAUAAUAAAAUAAUUAUUAUAAUUAUAAUUAUAAUCUAUUUAAUAAUUGUUAUAUUUUUAAUUAAAUCGAGGGUAUUUUGAGAAUUUAAAAUUAUAGAGGGCGAAUUGGUACUCUAAGGAUUUUAAUGAAAUAAAACAGAGGGUAAGCGACUGAAUGAAAUUUUACAAUGUAAAAAAUUUUAUAAUACUUAUAAUUAAAUGGUAAAUAAUCCGGAGUAUAAGGGGAGGAAAGAUAUUUUACAGGGCAGCCGUAAGUUACGUUAAAUGUAACUUAGGCGGACCCUUCAACAAAGGUAUUAUUAUUAUUAUUAUUAUCAUUAUUUAUUUUUUAAAUCCAUACCGAGCUACAGCUCGGUGUACUGGUUCAAUACUUCAAUUGUGCUCCAUCUAUAUAUAUAUAUAUAAAGCUGAGACUUAAGGAGGUGAUGUUGCAUUACCAUUUCUCAUCUUUGUAUAUUCUCUAUUAUCUAAUAAAUAAAUAAAUUUUCUUUUAGAUUUGACUUUUUAUCUUCUUAUAAUUAAUUUGAUUGUUAUUACACAAUAAUAAUUAUGUAAAGAUUUUAAUGAAGUAUAUUCUUUGUAACGAACAUCCAAGGGAGAGUAUUAUGAAUUUAUUAAAAUAAAUGUAGAUGUUCAUAACAUAUAUCUCUUGGUCUCCCUACUAUCUUCCAUUAGCAACAUUUAGCUUCCCUAUAACUCCCACUAUCUCACAAGGAAUUAUGAUCCAUAAUUUUUUAUUAAUUUCAUGGAGUGAUUAUGUAACUAUAAAAGGAGAGCUCGUCUUUUUGUUUUGUACACACACAAUUGGAAUGAAUAAAAUCACUCUAUAAUAUAUUCUCUCAUUUUAUUCUUUAUCUUGCGUUGCUUCUUUAUUUGUAUUGCUGGCUAAUAACUUUUUUUUGUUUUUUAUAAGGCUGCCUCAUCUUAAAAAAAAAAAAUUAAUUCAUAUUUUUUAUCAGUUUCAUCAAGUGUAAAGUAAGAAAAAAAAAUAAUACUAAAUUCUUUUUUCAAAAUUCUUUUUUCAAAUCCGCGUGAAGCGCGGUUCUAUUUUUUAGUUUUAUUAUAUUCUUAGAACUUGAGUUAAACUUGAAAUUGUCACUCUCUUUGUAAAGGACACGGCUAUGAUACAGGGACUUUGAGUCCCUGUGCCAUCUGGCAGCCAAACAACUUUUAUGACUGGCAGCAACUGGUUUUCCAGCCGGUUGCUGCCAUUAAUAUGUAUUUUUUAUUUAAAUAAAUUAAAAUAAAAAAUAUUUAAAACGAAUAAUAUUUAAAAAAUAAUAAUAAUAAGAAGUAGAAAAGGACAAGUAAAGUAAAAAUAGAAAAAAUAUUUUUUAUUAUAAAUAUUUUAAAAAAUAAAAUAAAAUAUGUGUUAACAAAAAGACAAAAGUUUUAUUUAUUUUCUAUGAAAUCUAUCUCAUGUUUAACAUUUUAAGUUUCAUAUUUUAUGUUUUAUGUUUUAUGUUUCAUGUUUCAUGUAUUGAUUUUUCAAAUACCCCAAGAUUUUUCUUUUUUACCCUCGUUUCAUGUUUACGUUCAAGUUUCAUAUUUGCUGUUCUAUGUUUCAUGUUUUAUGUUUUAUGUUCACUGUUACGGAGGUACUUAUAUUUUAUGUUUGUUGUUGCAUAUUUUAAGUGAUUUGUUUCAUGUUGGUUGUGCAAUGUUUCAUGUACUGAUUUUUUAAAUACCCCGAAAUUUUUUCUUUUUUGCCCCUGUUUCAUGUUUACGUUCUAUGUUUCAUGUUUGUUGUUCUAUGUUUCAUGUUUUAUGUUUCAUGUUCCAUGUUACGGAGGUACUCAUAUUUUAUGUUCGUUGUUGCAUAUUUUAAGUGAUUUGUUUCAUGUUGGUUGUGCAAUGUUUCAUGUAUUAAUUUUUCAAAUACCCCGAAAUUUUUCUUUUUUGCCCCCGUUUCAUGUUUGUUGCUCUAUGUUUCAUGUUUUAUGUUUCAUGUUCACUGUUACGGAGGUACUCAUAUUUUAUGUUUGUUGUUGCAUAUUUUAAGUGAUCUAUUUCAUGUUGGUUGUGUAAUGUUUCAUGUACUGAUUUUUCAAAUACCCCGAAAUUUUUCUUUUUUGCCCCCGUUUCAUGUUUACGUUCUAUGUUUUAUGUUUGCUGUUCUAUAUUUCAUGUUUUAUGUUUCAUGUUCCAUGUUACGGAGGUACUCAUAUUUUAUGUUCGUUGUUGCAUAUUUUAAGUGAUCUGUUUCACGUUGGUUGUGCAAUGUUUCAUGUAAUAAUUUUUUAAAUACCCCGAAAUUUUUCUUUUUUGCCCCCGUUUUAUGUUUAUGUUCUGUGUUUCAUGUUUGAUGUUCUAUGUUUCAUGUUUUAUGUUUCAUGUUCCAUGUUACAAAAGUACUCAUAUUUUAUGUUCGUUAUUGCAUAUUUUAAGUAACGUGUUUCAUAUUUAUUGUUCAAUGUUUUAUGUAAUAAUUUUUAAAUACCUUAAAAUUUUUCUAUUUUGCCCCCGUUUCAUGUUUAUGGUUCAUGUUUUAUGUUUCAAGUUCGGAGUUUUAUAUUUGAUGUUUAUGUUCAUUGUUACGGAGGUACUCAUUGUUACAUAUUUUAAGUAAUGUGUUUUAAAUUUACUAUUCAAUGUUUUAGAUAAUUAUUUUCCAAACACCCGAAAAUUUUUAAUCCACCAUUUUGUAAAGUGACUUUAACAUAAGCAUUAGAAGAAUAUUAAGGGAUUUUAACAAGACUCAUUGUACGAAUACUAUUUAUUUAGUCUUAAAUCUAACCGUUUCACUUGAAUUUCGUGCACCGAUUUUAAUCUUUCAAUAGUCAUACCUUAGACUACAAGUGUUCGUUUUAGACAUUUAAUAAUAUUAUUUUGUUAACAUUUUUCUUCUAAUUUUUUAUAAAUAUAAUCACUUUCGAAGUAUUUGUAUUAUGAAUAAAGGUAACCAACAAAAUAAUAAUAUUCCAAUCCGAAUUUGCUUUUAAGUGUUUUAAAUCUUUCGUUUAGUUGAACUAUCAAAGCCUCUUAGUGUGUUAUAUUUAAUUUUAAUCUUUGAAAUAUAGGACUUGCUUUUUAUUAAAGAAAAGUAUGAUUGAAUAUAUAAAUAUUUGGUUUUUGGUUGUUAAUUAUUAUAUCAAUAAUCCUAAUUGUUUUAAUUUUUUGUAAUUAUUAUUGAAAUUCUAGUUAAGCAAUGUAUGCCUUCAAUUUGUUGAUUAAGGCUUGAAAAAGUAGUAAACCCAAUGAAUGACUUUCAACUAAGUUGUAAUGGAAAUUGAAAAUUUUCACAUUUGAGUGAAAUUUGUGAAAGUAAACCAUUAAAGUGAAGAAAUAAGUGUGCUAAAGCAAAAUAUGACUUAACUAUUAAGUUUGAUAAAAAAAAAAAAAAAAGCUAAAAAUGAGUAAAAUACUAAUGGUUGUAAUAAGUGGCCUCACAAAUAAAUUCGGAAGAGCUCUUAUAUUCUAUUGGCGCUUUUUAUAGCCAAAAUCUCCACUAUAAAUAACCUUGCAACCAUUUUUAAUUCUAUUAAUUCCCACACAAAUUUAUAGGCUUAUUUUCCCAUCCGCUAAAUCAAUUUAAUCAAUUUAUUUUUUUUAGUAAUUAUAGGAAACACAAUUUAAUGAAAAUAAAUCAAAUUAACUAUUCCUAUAUCAAACAUAAUAGUUUCUACAUCUUAUAAAAAUCCAUCAAAAUCUAGUACGUUACACUAAGUGCAUCAUACAAUCUUAUUACAAGUAUCAUCUCCGGAAAAAAAGUAGAUUGAUAUAUUGCAUAAAUUUACGGCAAAUAAAAAGAGGAAGAAAGGUAAGUAGUUUUAAAGUAAAAGCUCAGCACAACUUAUUAACAACGUAUUUAUCUUCUUCAGAGGCACUAAGAAAUUCAUCCACUGCCCAAGUUUUUCCAACUGUCGUCAUGGCAACACCAUCCAUGCUUAUAAAAACAGCAUCAAGUUUUGCAAUAGUUAUCGAGUCCUGUCCAAGGAGAGCUCCAAAGAAAAGCACAAAUAGAGAAAUGGGUUUGCUGAGUUAUUGGAAACCUUUGCCCCUGGAGAAAACAGAGCAAUUUUCCAUUUAACGAUUGUAUUCAACUGUUUAUUAGAUACUUAAAUCAUCAUAAUCGCCAAUUUUUUAUCCUUUAUUUUAGCCUUAAGUCAUGCUAAAGUGAAUUUAUAUUGACCAAAGAAUGUUCAACCAUCUAUUAGAUACUUGCAUCAUCAUAAUCGCUCCAAGAACUCUAGUAUUCAGUAUUUGCAAUAAAACAACUCAAAGAUUAAGUCACUAUAACAAAAACACUAAGUGACCUUUUCAAGACAUCAUUUUUUAUCCACUUGUCUUUAACUCUCAACUCCAGAUUCUUCACAAAUUUAUUCCAAAAUUUGGGCAUCACUUCACAUUUAUACACAAAAACAAUCUGGCCCUUUUUUUUUCUAAUAAACAUAAGCUCAUUUGAAAACACAUUAUGCAAUUAAUAAAUAAGCAAUUAAAAAUUAAAAAAAUAGAGAAAACUUUGAAGCUCAUGCUUUACAUCAUUUCAGUACAUGGCAUAAUAUUGACAAAUUUAUGGCAAAUUCCACUCAAUCAGAAUCCAAACAACUCAAAAAAAUAAACCAAUAGAGUACAAAAUCUCAUGACACAAUCCAAUUUCUCAGCAAGCAAUCACAAUUUAGCUAAAAAUCAACCCCUUAAUAAGAAAUUUAAUUUUGAAAACAAAAAGCUUUUAAUCAAAACCUCUAUUUAAUAUAUAUGUAAGACAUAAUUGAAAUACAUAAAGAAGAAUCCUCGAGAAGAUAUGAAGAGAGAUUACCUUCCCUUUUAAACUAUUAAGCCGCCAUUGUUAACUUGUUAUAUAGGCACCCAAAAAAUCUCAAAUCUGCAAUAUAAAACAAUGAAAAUGUCAUUAUCUUAAGGGACAUGCAAUACUUGAGCUUGAAAUAGGUCUGAGAAUUUUAAUAGGCAUUUUAUCGAACAGUUAACAUGCAUGUUGUAUUAUGCUAUUUCUAAGUCAAAGCAUGUAUUAGAUAAGGGCAACAUUGAUUUUAUUUAUCAUUGUACAAAUUUUAAUCCUCCAUACCAAGAAUGAAAUAAUUUUGUAGAAGUAAAAUGUAUUAUGUUUCUGAUUUAGCUAUAGCUCGCGGCAACCUAAGCCAAUUUAAUAGCCUUUUUUAAGCCAUUACAUUGAAUUUACAAAACCAAUCCUUCAAACUUAUUACAUAAAAGGACUUAUCUAGUUACAAUCAAUAUUAACCUAAAUCCAUUCCCUUAAAACUAUGAAAAUUACUUUACAUCAAAAUUAAAAUGGCAAAAACAGUUCAGGACUUUAAACACACUAUUCCUAGUUCCCAUUCCAAUAUACAUAUUACUUAUAAACAAUAAAAAGUUCCCAUUAAAAAAUGUUAUUAUAAUGAGGAAAUAAAAAGGUUUUGUGGAAACCAACAAACAAAACUAAAGAAUCAAAUAAAAAGGGGAAAAAAAUGAUAAAUGAUUCCCAAAUUAAUAAUUUAGUUCACAUCUCUAAUUGAAAGCAAGGAACAAAGAAUUAUACAAGAAUCAUUGAUACCAAGUUUACUAGAUAACAAGACAAUAUAUCAUAUACACUGCUGCUUCAGUUUCUAGAAAUAAAGGAAAAUUCUGAUUACCAGUCAUGUUUAACUUUAGCUUGGUCACAGCAGUAAGAGCACAACCAAAAUCAUUGGAACAAGGGACAUAUAAACCGGCAAAAGAAAUGUCUGAUCCAGAAGAAACGUUGAAACCAAAACACUGAAAUUGCAACCUUGGCCAUACUCACUGCAGCAGCCACAUGCCUAAUUGCAUAUGCCACAACAACCUAUGCGCCACAAAAUUAACAACACACACCAAAUUAACUGCAAAUAAAAGCCAAAUCAUUGACCCCUUUUUUUUCCAAAAAAAAAGGAGUCGCAUAAAGACAGGAAAAAUGAUUUUAAAUGAAUUUAACAUAGCAACUACUUUCAUUACUGGGAUCAAGAGAAAAUAAAAGCUGUCAAUCUAAAAAUUAGAAAUUUUAAUUAGUUUUUCCUGAAAAUCAAAAUCUAAAACAACAGAAAACUUUUUUUUUUCUUAUCUUCACUUUCUCAGCAACCAAACAAACUUGUACUCAUCAUCAAAACCAACAUAAACCCUAAAAACAAAAAACAUUAUUUUCUUAAAAUUUCCUCACUUUUCUCACAAACCAAACAAAACCCAUCACAGUACUUACGGGAAACAAAAUUUUAUAAACUGUUGCAUAUAUUCCUGAAGGGGCUGAGGGCGCUGUGCUUGUGCCGCCGUUGAUCAUUGUCAACGAAGAAGAUCAGCCCGUCCUUUUGCCUUCGUUGAUCGUUGCCGACGGUGGAGAUCAGCCCGUCCUUGUGCCGCCGUUGAUCGUUGCCUAGGAACUCUUCAGCCGUCGCCGUUGAUGGCCGUGGUGAGGCGUGUGGUGAGGGAGUGGUGAGGCGUGUGGUGAGGGAGUGGUGAGGCGUUUGGCGCGUGUGAGGUAAGUGAGUGAGUGGUGGGGUUUUUUUUUUUGUUUAUUUCAAUUUUAUAGGUUUGUUCUUUCAAAUUUUUUUAAUCAUUUAAUAAUUAAACAAAUCUCAGCCAUUGGAUCCACUCUAUUCAAUCCAACGGUAAUUUUUUAUGUACUGUAGCUACCCUCUUUAACUAGGGGUGGACGCGGUUCGGUUCGGUUCGAUUUUUUACUAAAUUUUUCAUAAUCGUUCGAUUACGAUUAUUUUAAAAUCAUAAUCGCGAUUAAUCAAAUUACUGAAAUAAUCAAAUACUCAAUUAAUUGAAAUAAUUCGAUUCGAUUCGGUUCGAUUAUUUCGAUUAUGGGCCUAUUGAGUCUAUUUUAAACUUUUUUAAAUUUAAAACUUUAAAUUAAUAAAUCUACCAUUUUAUAAAAUUAUUGAAUAACCACGCACAUUUUACAAAAUUAAGAGACUUCAUAUUAUAACAUUCAUCUUAAUUAACAAAUUAUAUUUUAUUUUUAAAUAAAUAUUUAACUGGUUGUAACCAACAACCAAAUGGAUCGCAUACAACUUAACCGCAAUGAACAAAUAAAUAAAUGAUGCUUUAUGAAUAACUUCUUCAUUCAUUAAUUGCAUUUGUAUUCAUUUUGGCCAACCAAGAAUAUAUAUAUUAAAUUAUUACAUAAACUAUCUACAAAAAUCGAGAUUAUAUAUUAUAAAAAAAUGAAAAAGAGAACUGCAGAAAAAUUUGACAUGGCACACAAACAUGGUGGUUCCAAAUUAUGACCAAUUCCAAUUGACGAUGAUGACAUAUGGAUAAUAAUUUUUCUUUUUCUUUUUUAGUUUAAAGAAAAAAGUUAAAAUUAAUUUUUUAAUAUGCCCAAGAAGGAAAGUGCAUCCCACCUGAUGUGUUGCAUCUUCUCUGUGAUUUCCCAAGCAAAAGCAAUCAAUCAACAAGGUCAAUUUGCAAAGGUCUGGGUGCAGACAACGGAGGCCAAAAAGCAGAAUGAUUUCAACUCUGUGGAAAAGAGUGCAGUUGAGACAGUAACAAGGUUAGCAGAAGCAAAAAUUACAGCGAGGGAUGCCGCACGAUCACAAAAAUUACAGCGAGGGAUGCCGCACAAUCACAAAAAUUACAGCGAGGGAUGCCGCACGGCCAGCGGGAACAGAAGAAGUCACGACGAGCAGCGGCCAGCGGGAAGUCGGGAACUGAAGAAGACAGAAGUCAGAAGUUUAGAUUUAGAUUUUAGGCUUUUAGGUUUUAGCUUUAGCUUUCAAAACAAUCGGUUUAUUUGAGAUUUCGGUUCGGUUUUGCAGUUUUUCUUUUAAAAUCGAAAACCGAACCGAUUGGUUUUAUUAUUUUUUUAAUAUUAUUAUUUCGGUUUUUUGGUUAUAAAAAAAUCAUAAAAAAACUGAACCGAACCGAUCGGUACAGUUUAAUUUUUAAUUAAUCAACUUUUUUUACCCACCCCUACCUUUAACCAGUUGCCUUUUUUUUUUUUCUGCUUUUAUUCAUUUUUUUUCUUUUUUUUUUUUAAUUAAAACCAUAACCCUUGGAUUCAAACAAGCUGAAUCCAACGGCUCAAAGGCAGCCCCUGCACCAUACAGGGAUUUUAUGCCCUGCAUGGUAGCCGUGUCCCUUUGUAAAAUUUAAGAGAGUGGGUUCGAAUCUCAAGGAAUUCUAUAUUUCAUAUUUGUCAACAAAAAAAAAAAAAAAAAAAAGAAAAUCUAGAAAUUGUAAAUGGAGAAUAUGAGAAACUUAAAAUUAGCUGCAAAAUGAUUUCAUCGGGUCAAGAUAAGACGGUGAUCAUUCAAAGAUAACGAAUAGGUUCCUUUCAAGAUUACAGCUGGACAUGAGCUGACAGAUUUUUUUUUCUCUUUUUGAGCUCUUGAGAAGAACAGGAUUAUAAACGACAAGAAGAAUUAUGUCAUUCAAGUUUAUGUGGUGAUAAUUCAAGAUAACAUUAGGGCACGAGAGGGAUGGUCAACAGGCAAAUUACCAUCACAAUAAACGUGUCAAAUAAUUGCAGGUGCGCUCCGAAGAGAGGAAGAAACUCCAAAUUAUCGGAUAAUCAUAGCAAAAUGGUAUUGCUUGCCUAGAUCAGAAGUAAUCUUGUAUCAAUUUUUUAGCUUCCCCAAAUUCUGUUUCUGUACAGUGUAAGUAUUUUUCAUCCUCAUUUUCUUGUUUCCACUUUCCAUUAUGCGUUAUAUCACCAUUUAUUUUCAUCUCGACAUUUGGUUUCAAUUAGAUCACCGGAGGAAAUAAGAUGGGAAGAACACAGAUCAUCUUUAAGAGCACCGUCUGUGCAGCAAUUCACAGGGAACCAAACCUCAGAAUCGAUUUAACUCCAUGGGAUCUUAAGCUCAUUCAAUUUGAUACCAUUCAGAAAGGACUUCUCUUCGGCAAACCUCCAAAUGAUAACACCGAUACCAGCAGCUUGAACUUGAUCCACCACCUCAAGACCUCCCUUUCACGUACGCUAGACUACUUUCCCGCACUUGCCGGUCGCCUAGCCACCAUCGAGCAUCAUGAUGACAGCAACACAAUUUCUGUUUACAUAAAUUGCAACAAUGCCGGCGCAGAGUUUGUGCACGCCACGGCCGAUGGAGUCUCUGUUGCAGAUAUCAUUUCACCUGUUUAUGUUCCUAAUGAAAUUGUUUACUCUUUUUUCCCACUAAAUGGAGUAACAAACUGUCAGUGUAUCUCCGAGGCCAAGCCGUUGCUUGGGGUUCAAGUGACAGAGCUUGUGGAUGGAAUCUUCAUCGCUUGCACUAUCAAUCACUCCGUUGUUGACGGCACUUCCUUUUGGCAUUUCUUCAAUUCUUGGUCUGAAAUCUCACGGGGUUCUGAUUGUAUUUCAAAACUUCCAGUUCUCGAACGUGGGUUUCUCUCUGAAUCAGAAUAUUUCCCCAUUCGCCUCCCUCUCUGGGGCAUUGAACCUUCUGGAACUCACACUCCACCGCCUAAUUUGCGACAAAGGGUUUUCCACUUUACGAAGGAAAACAUUGCAAAACUCAAAGCAAAAGCCAAUGCUGAGAUUGGUAGUACCAACAAGAUCUCCUCUCUCCAAGCAAUCCUUUCCCAGAUCUGGC
rnacentral:lncRNA from 1 species